GUGGUCAUGUUCAAGGUGAAAGACCAAAUCCUGGUUAUGGAUCUGAAUCCGGUUAUGGGAGGAAACCGGAAUCUGAGUACGGAUCUGGCUAUGGUGGACAAACGGAGGUGGAGUAUGGUCGGAGACCUGAGCAGAGUUAUGGAUCUGGUUAUGGUGGAAGGACGGAGACUGAAUCGGAGUAUGGAUCUGGUGGUGGUGGAAGAACUGAGGUUGAGUAUGGUAGGAGACCUGAAUCAGGGCUUGGAUCUGGUUAUGGUGGGAGAUCGGAGUCUGAGUAUGAGCGUAAGCCUAGCUAUGGAAGGUCUGAGGAACAAGAAGAAGGUUAUAGGAAGCCUAGCUAUGGAAGAUCUGAAGAACAAGAGGAAGGUUACAGGAAGCCAAGUUAUGGAAGAUCUGAGGAGCAGGAAGAAGGAUAUAGAAAGCCUAGCUAUGGAAGAUCUGAGGAGGAACAAGAGGAAGGUUAUAGGAAGCCUAGCUAUGGAAGAUCUGAGGAACAAGAGGAAGGAAGUUACAGGAAACCUAGUUAUGGGAGGUCUGAUGAUCAGGUGGAGAGUUACAUUAAGCCUAGCUAUGGAAGAUCUGAGGAACAGGAGGAGGGAAGUUACAGGAAGCCUAGUUAUGGGAGGUCUGAGGAACAGGAAGAGGGGAGUUACAGGAAGCAGCCUAGCUAUGGCCGUGGCAAUGACGAUGAUGAUGAUGAGCAGCGUAGGAACCGUUCUGGUUCUGGUGAUGAUGAGGAAGGGAGCUAUGGCCGCAAGAAAUAUGUAAGUUGAAGAAAUUAAUAUUUUGUUGAAUCCUUUGGUGAUCAUAUUGUAGAGUGUAGAGUAAUCCAAAGUUUAUAUCUUUAGUGAUUGUUUUAUGAUCAUUCAUGAUUUAGCCAUCUAUAAACAUCAUUAUAAAGAACCUGUCUAAAGUCUUUGUUUGGAUACAUACAUGUCAACGAAAUGUAUCUGUUUCACAGUUUACAUGAAUAGAAAGCUAGUUCUAGGAUUCCAUUUGACUUUGGUGGUGUAGUAUUCGAUUGAAUAUGGACAACAUUUCGUUUGGUUGAAUUAUGCAUAGCUUGCAUCUAGGUUGUGUGGAAAUUAAGUUUGAUUGGUUAGCACUGAAAACCCUUUGUUGAUCAUAGUGUAGAGUAACUCGUUAUUGAACUAAAGUUAUAUCUUUAGUGGUGGUUCUUGUCGAUUAAUGAUUUAGUCAUCUGUGAACAUCCAUUAAGAAGAACAAUGUUGUCUAGUUACAUACUUACAUGUCAACAUUAUUUUAUUGAAUUUGGCCAUCUUGAGGAUAUCUGAAGGUCUCUCUUUCCUUUCUUAUGGUCAUAGUUCAUAGCAGCGGCAUCAUUAACCUGAUGUCAUUGUAUGGGUCAUUACAUAGGUUACACUUUUGACGUAGUCCUAAUUAUUUCCAAUACACAAUUUGCAGGGUGGCAAUGACUCUGAUGAGGAUGAGGAGAAGAAGAAGCACCGUCACAAGCAUCACCACCAGAAGCGUCGUGACGAAGACGAUGAGUAAACUAAACCCUCUCUGUGCUAGAGAGUGUAAUGAGAAUGUGUGUUUGCUUAGCCUCAAAAAUCUACUAAAUAAAGAGCUAAGUCACAUACCUUUCUACAUAAUAUCUUCCGACGUUGGUGUUGUGUUUGUUUGAAUCUCUGUAUUAUUACUACAGAGUCUUCGUACUGGUUCAUAAUAAGACCUUUAAGUGGUAUUGGGUCACCAUGUAACUGUUGCUACUCUGUUUCGUUUUCUAUCUAUCGUUUUGUGUUAUGAUUUACUUUUCUAUCCUUAUAUAAUUAUGAUGAUCAUUUCGUGUAAUAUCAGAAUGUUUUUUGCAUGAAUUGGAAUUAGAUGGAAACUUUGUUUAAGAAAAUAUCAGGAGUCUUGUUGCACCAUGGUCCCAGUCCUCAAUAGUAUUGGCGAGUCUAAACCAAGAAGCUAGAACCAAGAAGCUAGAAAUAGGAUCCAAGACUAAGUUAGGAAGACUGAUAUAUGUAACUAAGACUUCAUGAACCAAAUAUAAACCUUAAUUUUGUGGAUCAUAUGAAUACAGCGCGGCACAUUAGUCUCCCACACAAAACAAGCCCAAUAGUGUGAGAUGGUCACGCCUGAUAAGGUUUUCUAUAUGCCUUUUAGUUCUCACAUACGAAUUCAAAAACUCUAUCCAGUGAAAGAAAGACCGUAAGAAGAAGAGAGAAAGAGACAAACCUGGUUCUCAUGCAGGAUUUUCAGGACACCGAGCAGAGGCUCAUCCACGCUUUGAUCAGGCUAGCCGAAACUCUAAGGGUUGCGACUCGGCAAUCUUUGUAUUCGACGGUGGUGUUUACAUUCCAAUGGUUGGUUUGUGAUACCGAACCGUUUAAAUUAAAUACAAUUUGAAUUUGGUGAAGAAUGGUUGGUCAUGCUCAAACAAGUGAGGGUUGAUCUUGUUCAGUCUAGGGAAGAUCGAUCGUGCUCGGCCAUACCUGGUAUUGGAUUAGUGUAGUGUUACAAUGAUUUAUGUAUGUAUAAAUCAGUAUCAAGAGAACAGUCUUUUGAGGAAGGCUGACGGAAACAUCUCGACCUAGUACUCCGUGUUAGGGUGUUUCGGGCCGAUAGGUGAAAUGUAGGCUUAUCAAACUGGUAGGUUGAACUCACUGAUUAAGACACUCUUCUCUCAGUUAUACUUUCACAUUGUUGAAGCUUCUUUGAUUCGAAUGAUCAAUUGGAUCAAGGUGAUAAUUAGUAUUCCACGGAAGGUUGGCGAUUAAUAAAACACCAAUUCUAUUCAUGUAACGAAAUUGAACUUUAUUUAUUCCACCAAGUCAAACCGAAAGAAAUGAAAUACAUUUAUCAGCAACCCACUUUUGGGUUUCUCUCAUAUCCUUUCUAUUCUAUUGGGUUUAAAUUUAAAUCAAACUAUAAAAAAAAUGCCCUUGAACAAGAGUUAGCCAUAAACACUUUUUUUUAGCCAUAAAAACUUAAUCACUGAUUAAUUAACCGCAGAGCAAACCCUACGAAUUUCUCCAUUUGUCCCCGUCUUCACACCAAUAUUACUCAUUUUAACCAUUGACCUUGCGAACUGGACAUUGAAGUUGCCUCUAGGUGCCAUAAACUCUUGCACUAUGGAUCUUGUGGCCGGACUAGUCCAAAGAACGUGAUCGGAUUGAAGAAUUCCUCUGUUACGGCUGAGAUUGAUGAAAUAAGAUGUGUCAAAAGUGUUUCCACUUCCGGUGUCAAGAUCAACACGUGCUGAUCCGUCGCCGUUUUGGGGACAAAGUCUUUGAAGUUGUGGUACAAAUGUUUGGUCCAUUGUUGGAUCUGCUGUGUUUCCGCUCGAGUUGAAUAUCCUGUUCGUGAUAAACCCACAUGCAGCUGUUCCGAUCGUGUGUCCUCCUCCUAUUAAUUCAUAUAGGUUCAUCUUCAGUUUGAUUAACAAUAUAAUUGAAAAAUAUAUAUAUGUAAUAUGUACACCGAAAUAAAACUUAAUUUUCUUUGAAAAAUACGAAAAUGUUUGGUUUAAACAUGAACCUGAUCCUAGAGUUAUCCUUAUUCUUAUGCAAAUUAAGUACGAGUGACAAUAAACCAUGCAGUGCACAACACUAACUAUUAAAGUGAAUAUUCAAAAUAUGAAAGAAAAAAACACGUACGAGGAGUUUCCAUCCAAACUAAUGUAUUGGAUCUAUUCUGAUUUCUAAACGGUGAUAUAUAGGUUACAUACCAACAAGAGUGACGAGAUCGCGAGUGUUGAGGCGAAAAGCGGAGAAUUUCCUUUGUUGAAUGGCUAGAGAGUCACUUGGAGAAGGAAGAUUGUUAACGUUCGAUGCCAAGGAAACUCUUCCAUCUCUACGUCCUGUUGGAACUUGCCAACUUUGUCCGUUUGUCUACAUACACCCAUGCAAAUUAAAGCCAAACAAACGUUAAUUACUCUCUGUCCGCUUGUACAUUAUUUUUGUUUUUACUUUCUUUGUAACCAAUACUAAGUUAAUAUUAUAGAAGAAACCAAGUAAAACAAACAUAAAUGUUACACAUAAUUGUUUGAAAAUAUAAUAUUAUAAAAUCUAUAUUUUUUUCAAAUAUAUGUUAUGUAAGUUCUUAAGUAUCAACGUUUAGUUUGUAAACACAAAACCAAAGAAAUGAAGAAACGUAAUCUUUGUAUUUUGGCGUAUAUAUACCUUGUAAAAUUAGUUAAUAUAAAACAAAAAAUUGUGUUGCCUUUGUUAAUCCUCUUUACUUACUCAUAUCUAAAUACAAACACAAAAUAUUGGCAUUUAAAACAAUCAAGACAUAGUUCUUUGCUUAUAUAUGAUAUAUUGAUUGUUGUAUAAUUAGUAUAUAUAUAAACUUACGAGAGAAACCGAAUCACGAGCCGCUAAGGCCAAGAUAUCAGCACAAGAGACAACACCAGGACAUGCUGCCUCGAGCUGCCUCUUGGCAUCGUCAAUGACCUCAAAACCAUGGAGGUUAACGUUUGCGCCAGCGGUUCUUUCAGAGUUAGGUCCCGAUAAAAGCACCGAACCAUCACAACCUUGGACAAAGCAAUCAUGGUUGUGCAUUCUCAGUAACCCGGGUGCAACCUUUGGAUCUGAACCAAAGUGAGAUGCCACAGUGGUCCGAACAAUUGUCUCGGCAUUAGGGCACGUAGUCGAGUAGAACCCGAUCCUCGUACCUUGGCCAUAAACGGCGAUGAGACAACUAAGGAAGACUAUGACCAAAGCAAAUGAUCGGACCAAGCCCAUUUUUUCUUUUUGUUGGUUUGUGUUUUAGAUAAGACCGCAAGUGUGUUUCGAGUUAGUAGAUAGAGUUUGUUUUAGAUGCAUGGAAAGUGAUACGAGAACGUGAGUAACUUAUAGAGGGAUUGAGAAGUCAAAUGGUGAUGUUGAAGUCAGCGAAAGGGGCUAGAGUGUUGAGGUAAUUUGACAAAACGACGACGUUGUAAUCCAAUUCAAAACUGAAAACCGCGUUAUGUGAUUGGUCAUGAGCUGGCUUCGCGCGUUGACGAUUGCAGAUCAUGUUGGGUUUGUUUUUUCUCUUUUGUUCGUUUCUAUCAAACUAAUUCCUAAUUAAUAGUGUGUAAUCAUUUAUAAUGAAUGUGAUUAUAGAAUAUUGUUUUAGCAGGCGUUAAACUUUGAUUCAACUCUAAUUCUUUAUUAAGGAAACUCGUAUUAGUGCAUGAUAUUUUCAUCUACAAUGCACCGACUUUGGACUGGUUAAUCGAAUAAGUGUUAAAAUACUUUAGGAAAAGAAAAAGUGUUAAAAUAUCCAAAACAUGAACAUCCACUAUUCAACAAAAGUUCACUGACCGUCUCACAAAAGUGUUAAAAUAUCCAAAACAUGAACAUUCACUAAUCACUAUUCAACAAAAGUCCACGGACAUCACUAUUCAACAAAAGUCCACGGACCGAUCCAUCGUGAGAGAUUAGUGUAUUGACCGGAACAUAUAGAUAGUAUAGUCUUUAACAAACAAACAAAUAACAAAAUAGUAUAGUGGGUUUUCUUAAUAAUUAAGCUUUGUUUCUUUGACUGGUUCGGUUUGUUUUGUUCGAAUUUUAGUAAUCUGGAAAUGGAAGAAUGAUGUCGAAUUUUUCAGUUCGAUUUUUUGGUAAAGAUAUAUAUUUCGGAUAAAGAUCGGGUUCUACCCGCACCAGGUUUGCUAUAUAGAAUGAUGUUGUGAUGAUAAAGAUUAAUUCUAUACGUUUACUUUCAUAACAGAUUAAUGACUAAUGGCGACACGUUGAUUGGUGGUGAUCACUGAUCAAUAGCCAGAACUCAUGCUGACUAAGACUAACCAUCGUUGUUGGUCCAUAGGAAUUUUUUCUGCAAUUAAUUUUUAUUUGAAACAAUAAAAAUUUGUAACAGAAUAGUGACAUAUAACAAAUAAAGAGUUUUCUACUUGUCCCUUUAGGAUAUAAUAAAGUCAGAUGUUUUAAAAAGAAGAGUUUUCUAUGAAUUCCUGUUUCUUAAAAUAAUUUUUGUCAAUAUAGAUGUUAUUUUCCUAUAAAAAUCCAUGCAUGACGUUAACAAAGACUAGAAAAAUUCAAAAAUUGAAGAUUAUCAUAUAUUAUAUCUUGUCGUCGUUGAUGUAUAUUCAUCGACCAAAUUUUGGUCUCUACACAUAUGUAUAUAUUGGCGUCGAAGCUUAAAAGAAAAAAAAAGUAAAAACCCUUAUGGUCUAUAUAUAAAUCUUGUUUUUAUGGUACCAAAACCAUAUUCUAACUAAUCGUAACGCAAGUGAUCGUCUUUGCUUCAAAUGUAAAGCUAGAUAACCUGAACGAGUUUGGAUGCUGGCAUGCUGCGACCUUGAAGUCGGUCCAUUGGGUUUUUAUUUGUACAUACGGACAACAUUAAUUGCCCAUGAGUUGCUAAAAUCCUUCUCUGGGUCUUGUUACAAGCACCCUCUUCAAAUUAGCCUCUAUAUAUUUUGCAUGAAAAUAGUCUGAGAUUUCCCCGCAAAUGAUAUUUGAAUUGGAAAUAAUUUUUCUCUAACCCCUAACCCCUAAACCCUAAACACUAAAUUGCAUAAUCUCAAUUUUUCUGUUGAGCACAUCUAUCUAAAGAUGUUAAUUGAGCUGUUCAGAUCUAAAUGGGUGAAGUCCAAAUAUGAACAAAACUAAUGAUACAAACUCAAUAGCACCGUAUCCAAAUAUGACCAAACUCAAUAGCACCGUAUCCAAAUAUGACCAAACUCAAAUAAGACAAUGAUUAAUUAGACAGUGUAUGGAACCUAAAUAUAUAAUAUAAUUUUCUAUUUUCCGCAAAAACACAUUUUCUCUCAAACUCAAAGAAUUGCAUAUUUUUUAAAUUACAUUUUUUUUUUGCCAAAAUUGUAAAAAUAUUUUUUGGAGUUAAAAUGUCAAUGUAAACUCCAAAUAGCUAGAAAAUAUUUUGAAAUAGACAAAUUUAGUGGGAGCUUUGAAACUUUUUCUUUUGGUGAAAAUAUUAGUUGGGGUAUUCGGCUUAAAUACAUUUUGCUAAUCAGUCCGGUUUAAUAUUUUCUCGAACCGGAACCGGAUCAAUCCACAAUUGACUCCAAUUACGUGGCGAAUCGUGAAAAGAUCAUCUAUGGAACUGUUCAAAAACGUCUCUUUAUUUUCUUAAAGAUCAAAAACAAAAUUUCUAAUCAUGGACUCCAAUUUCUCUGAUCAUUCCCUCUAAUUUCGGAUUUUUGCAUCUUCUCCGAUCAUCUUCACCACUAUGGGUGCUUCAUCUUCUACAGACGACAAAGAAUCAUCGGAGAAACGAGAAAUCGAAAGCCUUGCUGCUUCAACCGGAGCUCUUCCUCUGCUUAAACGAUCCUUCUCCAAACUCGUCGAUUCUCAAACCAAUACUGUUCCUUUUCAAUCCUUGAAGGUAUAAUUCGAUUUCCGUUAAUCUGGGUUUUCAAUAGAAUCGUGUAUAAUCUAACUUAGGGUUAUAAAAAUUGGAUCUUUGUUUCAGCAAAGUUUUGGUUUGAGCUACGAUACAAUUACUACUGAAGGAGAGCAAAAAGUUUCAGACUUGUUUCCCAAAUUGUUGGAGCAUUUAGGAUCAUCUUUAGUAGAUUUGUUCUUCGUGCCUGAUAAAGAAGGAUUGAGUUGGGUUGAGUUUGCUAGUGGUUAUGUCAAAUGUUGUGGAAGAAUGUCGAAUUCGAUGUCUUUCAACACUUUGUUGAGAGUUUACUAUGUGACAGCUAAAAAUGCAGGCUUUUCUCCAAAGCUUGAGUUUGAAUCUGAUGAAGCUGAUUGUAAGAUUAACGGGUCGAUUUCGGUUAGUGAAUUGCUUGUGUUUCUUUGGAUGUGUUGGACAAUGUCUUGGGAUGGUCGAAGCUCUAAAGCUGCUGAAAUGAAAGGGUGUUUGUUUCUUCCGGAUAUUAGUCAUUUGAUUCUAUCAGCAGUGGUGUCUUGCACUGAUUCUGAAUCUGGAAAUAGUUUGGAUGUUUGGGAGACUGAUGUUUCUGGUUUAGAACUUGAACUUCCUAUCGGGAAAUUCUUAACGUGGGCUUUGAUGACAGUUCCUUGCCUCACUGAGUGCCUUUCUCACUUUUGUAACUCGAGGCUUCAAAAUGUGACAAGUGCAGAGGUAUUCUUUUUUUACUUGCGAAGUUGUUUCAUUGCUUAUAUUCUUUAAAGAGUCUAUCUUAGUACCAUUGUUUGUGUGGUUAAGUAUACAAUGGGUUUGAAGUUUUAAAAGAAUGCUGAGAUAUGUGAAGUUUGAAUUUAUGAAUUGCAGGAUGGAUCUGGACCUUCAAAGUCCACUGCUGUAGAUGAUUCUGCGUCCAAGACAAGCGAAAACACCCUUCUAACAUGUGGAAGGGCAUGGGCGAUUUCUUUGACGAGCAAAAGUACAAUAAGCGAGGAGAUUUUGAGCUCAUGUUUUCCCGGCAAUAGCGGUGAACCAAAUGAACAUCUUCUAUACCGGUAUCUCACUGCCUUAUAUCUGAGCAACUUGUUUAUCUUUUCAAGUGUUUUGAAUUUGAUUUUAAAUUGUCAUUCAUGUGAACAUCUGUUUGUUUAUUGAACAUUCUGUUUCUACAGUGUAGUUAAGUUAUGUUCGUCUCUCUUUCAGCUCAUAUUAUCACGGGAAAGGCAUGAAUCGACUGUGGUCCAACGUUGAAGGGUAUCAUGCUCCUAUACUAGUGAUAAUUUCUGCAAGUUGUAAAGUCGAACAUGAGGCUACUUCAAGCGAGAGGAAGUGGGUCAUUGGUGCAAUCUUGCAGCAAGGUUUUGAGAACAGAGAUGCAUUUUAUGGAAGCUCUGGGAACUUGUUCUCCAUAAGUCCAGUCUUUCACGCAUUCUCAUCUUCUGGUAUCGCAAAUAUCGAACAUUUUUCGGCACACUCGCUUUUCCAGUAGUCCAGUCUUUCAUACUUAUGUGUUAACAAUCUUCAGGUAAGGAGAAAAACUUUGCGUAUAGCCAUCUGCACCCUGCUGGCGGAGUGUACGACGCACAUCCCAAGCCUGUUGGAAUUGGAUUCGGGGGAACACUUGGAAAUGAGAGAAUUUUCAUUGAUGAAGACUUUGCUAAAAUCACAGUCCGUCAUCAUGCAGUUGAUAAAACUUACCAGUCAGGCUCUCUUUUCCCAAACCAGGUAAAGCCACAACACCAUAAAGGAACAAAAUGAGUAUAUCAUGCAUGUCAAAUUUUGUGCUCUUGGAUCUUAAUAACAUCUCUUGCUAAAUAUGAUUUCUACAGGGUUAUUUACCAGUAGAGGCUUUGGUUCUAGAUAUUGAAGCAUGGGGGUUAGGUGGAAACAAGGCUAGGGAAAUUCAACAAAAAUACCAGAAAAGAGAAGAGCUUUUCACUAACCAACGUCGAAAGGUAAAAGAAAAACACCAAAAGAGCAUGACAUCUAUUAUGACAUGCGCAAAGGUUUUCAAAUUUGACACCUUUGUUUUAUCUGCAGAUCGACUUGAAAACGUUUACGAACUGGGAAGAUUCACCUGAGAAAAUGAUGAUGGAUAUGAUGGGUAAUCCUAAUGCUCCUAGAAAGGAAGAGAGGUAAUGAAUGAAAGACGAGAACUGGUUUGAUAUAUACACACAUAUACGUUGUUGUCUCUUAAAAUAUAUAUGCAAGAAACUCUUUUGCUGUUCAUGAGCUCUUGGAUUCAAUGUGUAAGUUAUGUAUACUAGUGUUGCCAAAACUUGAACCAGCCAGUUGAUUUGAUAUUUGCCUAUAAAAAUUGGUUUUUAUUCCCAGAGCUUCAAUAGCUUCCAUAACAGUGUCAUAGUCCCGGUUCCUGACCAAAAGUUCAUCCAUUGCGGUUCACAUAAACAAGAAAACAAUACAAAUCUAUCAGUCGAAACCCUAAGCUUGAGACACAUAUCGAGUUGCACACAGCAAACGAUCUUACAUUCCGAAAAGCUAGAUUUGUCAAAUCAAUGAGAUUACACCAAGAGAUAUUGAUCGUGCUUGGUGCAGCAUCACUUCUUGUCUUCUGCUUUUCUCGGCUGCAAAACACCAUAAGACCAAACAGAGAGGUAAGCAACAGACCCGAAAACAGUACGCGUAAAGAAAAUGCUCGAAAAUGUUAUCGUUUCAGACAUGGUUUUGCUUGCAGACCUAUAUCAGCUUAAAACUUCAUAUGCUGUUAUCAAAGUUUUCUUCUUUCUAGACUCAAAUGAGACAUUGAAAAUGUGCAAUCACAUACCUUAACACCAGGAGCCUCUUGGAGAAGUUCUUCAUCAGGGAUAAUCACAGGCCAUUGUUCUCCAGCUUCACGAAACAUUUGCUCUGUCUCAAGAUACUGACCUUUAUCAAGAAUCAUCUUUCUAAUCGACUGAGCCGAGGUUGCAGCUGCAUCAAAAGCUUCCUCAACACCAUUAACAAAAGUGACAGUGAUCUGCGGCGGCUGCUCAUCGGUUCUACGUUUCACCAAAACCUGACAAUUGGGAUUCGAUUCUUUGGCCUUCCUUGCAUUGCAUUGAGCUAAGAAUUCAACACAAGACGCAAGUCUUGGAUCUAAUGUGUUGAACUCAAUUCUUACUUUUGAUAGAAACUUCAACAUCUUCUUUAGAUAUCAAACACUUGACCUAAAUCAGCCAUUAUACAGAUCAUUUUAGAGAAUUACCAAAAACCCUAACUUUACAUAUCUCGCAUUAGAUUCCAUGAAAAAACAGAGAAUGAUUGCGAAUCUAUAUAAAUUUGAUAUUCAGAUAACAACAUCAUACAUCGUAACUUCCAGAUUCAUAAGAGUCAUAGAGAUUUGAAGAUUAAUCUACCUAAAUCAGAGCAUUCAAAUGAUUCGUGAAGAUAUAAGAAGAUUCCAUCACAUAGAAAUGACUCGUUCUUGGAAGUAAAGGUUUCGAAUUUUACCGGUCGACGGAAGCUCUCCGGUUACGAUCGUCCGGCGAGAUUUAGUUGGGAAGUGAAGAAGGAGAACGCAGGAGAAGACUGAAGAAAGGGUUUCUGCUGUGUUAAGUGAAGGUAAUAACCGAUGGUUCGGUUUGUGAUGAAGCCAAAUAGAAUUAAUUAGGCAUGCGAUUCCGACAGAACCGAACCGAUAUUAGGACAAAUCGGUUCUGUUCUUGAUGAAGUGAGUAAACCGAUCGGGUGGCUUCUAAAAUUAUGUUUUGGUUCGAUUCAGAGGUAGAUAACCGACGGUUAACUGCAUUCUAAUACUACAGUAAAACCUUUAUAAUGUCGGGACUACUAUAUUUUAUGAAUUUAUAACUGAAAUUCAUUUAUCUAUAAAUUAAUAUUAUUAUUUCAGAGUAUAAAUUAAUAUUUAUUAAUAAAGUUUUAUUUUUAAUUGUUAAAUUUUAGAAAAAUAUAAAUUCAAAUAAUUUCUAAUGAAAUUGAUAGUUUGGAUUUUAUAAAAACAAACAAAUUUAGGGUCCGAUUGGUGACAUGACUAAAAAAUAACAAACAGAAAAAGAAAAAAAUGAUAAAAUAGGAAUGAAAAGGUGUGGGUGUAAAGGAAAAAUAAAACAAAUGUUACUGUAAAUAAUAACCAAAACAUAGAAAAAAUUGUAAUAAAAAUUAAAAAAUAAAGAGAUUAUUUUUAAUUAAAUAUUAAAUAUAAAACGAACAUAAAUUUAAUUUUUAAUUAAUAAAUAUUUAAUUUAUUUUCCUAUUUGUUCCUCAUCAAAUUUUGGGAAGGAACAAUUUUCUUCUAACAUUCCUAAAAAAAUGAGGAAUGAUUAGGAAUAUUGUGAGGUCUACAUGUUACAAUUUGGAAAAAAAUAUUACUAGUGAUUGGUGAAAAAAAAGAGGAACAUGUUGUUCCUCCCCAUUCCUUCUCUAAAUAAUGGUCACCAAUCGGACCCUUACUUUUGGAUUUGAUAGUUGUUGGGGUCGGAUUCCCCCACAAGCAAGACCGAGCCAAACAGUCUAAGAAUAACAAUCACCUCAUAGUUAAACAUAUAAAUGGCCCCUAGCCUAGAACAAAGCACCUCGGGACCUUAUUCGAUCGACCGUCCCGAAGAGAGUUUGUAAAAUGGCUCGGGUGUUAAUCAUAUGAACACAGCCCGAGCCAAUCGUGAGAACGCUGCGGGAAACAUCUAUAUCGGCUCGGGAGACAGCCAACUGAGCUUAAUGGAGUCAUCAAGCGCGCCCCGAGCCGGUACAUACCGUUUGCCCCGAAGCCACCUCUCAAACGACCACCGAGCCGUGAAAAACACGCGAGGCAAAGACUUGUAAAAACCAUUCAUUCUCCAAGGAUCUUUUCCGGUAAAAUAGGAUCUUUUAUGGGACUUUCGGAAAUGAUAAAGGAGAAUCUUUGAAGAUAAUGUCGAAAUCAGGAAAUCUCCCCAAAACCUCCGAAGAAUAAGGAGAAUAUCCUUAGGACGAUUAUCCUCUAGAAUCGACCUAAGGAUAAAUAAGAAUCUUCCGAAGAAUAUCGGUAGGGAGGCGGUUUAAGGAUCCUAUAUAAAGUGCCUUAGGGACUUCACAAAGGGGGGAUCUUUGGAUACUCACAAGAAACGCAUAACUUUAUACAUAUUGAGAACUACGAAUGGCUUGAUCCCUUCACAGGGUACGUAGGCAAUCCAUUAUGGAUGCAGCUAUACCUUUUUAAAACCCUAAUUCUUUUUCUGUUCUUGAGCAAACCCUAAUGUAUUUCAGAAGAGAUUAGAACCUCUUUUAUUAUCGAGUCUUGGAUAGAAUACCUAAUGAAGAAAAAUUAUUAGAUUUGUUUUCCCUCUCUAAACAAAUCUAUUGUGUGAAUCCUUGGUUCAACAAUAAUUUAAAUUUAGAAGAAAAAAACAAAUAAAAAUUGACAAUCAAUAUCAAAGACAAGAAAAUUCACUCAUACAAGUGAUAUACAUAAAUUCAAAUUCAUUACUAGUGACUUCAAUAGUUCAAUUAUUGGAUUUAGGCCGCCUAUAUGACUAUUGAAAUGAAAAUCUGUAAUUUUUAGAAUUUGAAAACUUAAACAAAUUUUUAGUUUUUUUUUAGAAACGUUUAUAGAGGAUACUAGAAUAAGAUAGUUUAAAAACACAAUAUUUUUUGGUAGAAAAAUAUUGAAGGAUAUGUUCAGAUUAAAAAUGAUGUACCAAGUUGUAUCAAAUGUAUAAACAUUUUUAUUAAUUUUUAUAUGAUAGCUAAUUUCUGAUUAUUAUUUUCUUUACUAGCUAUCUUUUUUAUAUAUUAAAAAUAUAUAUAUAUAUAUAUAUAUAUAUAUAUCGGUUUAAUAAUACUAAAUCUGACUGGUAUGUCAAUUAAACUGAAUAAUAGCGAAAGAAAAAAAUAAUUGAUAGCAGAAUGAACUAAAAUGAAUAAAGUUUUUGAAAAAUAGUCACAUAAUGUAAAAUAAAUAGUACAGCAGAUUAAUGAUGUUGUAUUUUUGAUUUUUAAUAAUUUUAAGACGCCUGUAUAUAUAGUAGAAUUACUUUUUAAAAAUAUGAAAACGUAAAAUGUUAUACUAUCGAUCAUGUUUAUUGUUUGUUUAGUAAAUAACAAACUUGAAGAGAAACAUGAACUAAGACUAUGAUCAUCUCAAAGUAUUUAUAAGCCAUAUGCAAUUUUAUUUUUAAACAUAUGUUAUCAAUGGCCAGAGGAACGCAAGAAGAUUUGGAGACGUAAUAAUAUUAUCCGAUGAGGAAGUUGGUAUAAAGUUGCGUAUUGUGCAUGUAAUUGAGUUACUGGCGGCGUUGCAAAAUUAAUUCACACAUGUUAUUUACUUAUUUAUAUAUAUCACACAUGUUCAUGUUUCAUUUUGAUGUAGUUGUAAGCUCUCUCUUUCUUUUUUUUUUUCCAAAAACAUGUUAUCGAUCUUAGGGUUACGUUGGGAACAUUAUCAUUUUGCUAAACGAAAAUGUCCAAAUUAGAAAUUGGGAAAACAUUUAGGUAGUAUGAAAACAAGAUGAUCACCUAAACAUGUUAAGUUUGACAUAACAAUAUAAUAAUGAUAAAUAUCUAUGAAACUUUGUUAAAUACUCAUAAGUCAUAAUAUCAACUCUUUGGUUGGUGGCCUAACAUAUGUCAUGUAAAAUUUCGUCAUUGAGAAGAACAGUAAACAAAUUUGGCUUCUAACUACUCUAGUUUCAAAUUUAUAAAAACAAAAACUUCACACCAAUAUAAAAUAAUUAUGUAUGUGUUUUAAAAUUUUCAUAUUAUAUUUUCUUACCUUCUUUGUGUGUUUUAAAAAUAAAAUUUUAUUUAAAUGUGUUAACUUGACUUUAGCAUUGUACAUGGCAAAUAAAUUAAGAUUUUUAUUUAAUUAGGAAGUCUAUUGAGUACAUAAAAAACACUAAUGCUACAUAACAAAAGCAAUUGACUUUCUAGCAUAUUUUUUUCUCCUUUUUUACAAAAAAAUGUAACAAGAAUAUUCAUUCACACACACGAACACAUGACUACUACAAGUCUACAACAUAACUUAUACAACUCAGAAAUUCCAAACGCAAUCCAAUUCUUCUGUACCGGACGAAUCACGACCGUCGAAAGGUUUGCCGGAGAAUUGAGUUUCUUGACCGUCAAGCAACAGCUUCAUUAGCGAAUAAUUGUCUUGUAAAAACAGAGGAUCCGAGUAAAACAGAGAACCAAAACCGUCUUUGGACUCGUGGACAAGUCUUUUGUCUUCGGUUUCUUGGUCGGAGAAGCAGGUCACGUGAGACGACGAACCGGUGAAGGAGUCUCGUUGAGAACAAUCCAUUAACGAAGGUAAACCGGCUGGUUCCAUUCGGUUAAUGUGUGGAUCAAGCAUUGACAUUGGAACCUUUGUACCAUCGGCACGUUUUUGGAAAACACGACAUAUAACCCAUUCGUUCUACAUUCACAAACAACCAAACAAAAGAAUUAAUUUCAAGUCCCCAAAAAAAACAAAAGACAGAAACACACAAAAUCUCUUAAUGUUAUUACCUUAGCUGUUUGGGGAAGAUUUUCAAUACAAUAUUUGCCUUCUAAACGAUAUUCAUGCAUAACCCAAUUGGUUUUAACUCCUUUAGGAGCUCUUCCUUUAUAGAAAACCAAAGUUUUCUUCAUACCCACAAGUGAUUUUCCCUUGAAUAUCUCUUUGUCUUUUCCUGUGGCUUUCCAAUAACCGGCUUCUGUCGCCCGGUUUGUCCUUAAACCGGUCGGGUAUUUCCGGUCUCUCACACAGAAGAAAUACCAUUCUUUUUCUCCCAUCUUAGCCUUCCCUGUUCCAACAAAACCAGCCAUGUAUCAGAAUUCAGAACCAUGAGUUUAAUGGUAGAAAGAAGACAAACAAAAGACUUGAGGAAAUAGAAAGAUAAGGUGUGAAACUUACAUGGUAAGUCCCAAGGCUCAAUCUUGUUGAGAUCAACUUCACCAAUGGCAGUAGCAGAGAAGAAAGUGUUGAAAACCUUUGGUUUGAGGUAGUGAGUUAUGAGUUCUUCAUCAGUAGGGUGAAAUCUGAAUCCUGGUGGUAGAUCUAUAUGUUCUUCAUCUUCUACCAUUUCGACGAUUCUUGAUGCCUCGUAAUCCAUUUUAUCCUAAUAGGGUUUCUAAAAAUGAUCUUCUUGUAAGAUUUUUGUUGUUGUUGUGUUUGUUGUUGUUUGGAGACGAAGAGGGAAGGGUUUUUGAGAAGAGAGAAGAAAGUUGAGGUUUUUAAGAGAGAGGAAAGUGUUUGAGCAACGAAGCUCCUCUCUAUAUACUAGUUUUCAUUUGAGAAAUAAGAACACUAAAAUAAUUUAUUCUUUUUAAUAUAUUGACCAAUAAUUGGUCAAUUUUUUCGUAUCAAGUUCUUCUUUAGAACAAUUAUUUGUAUUGAAAUUCAAGAGUUUUACCUACUAUAAAGAAAAAGAAAAUCUGUUAUCUUACUUCUAAUAAAUAUAUUAUUAUGUAUAUACAUGAGGUUUCGCGUUUAAAUCUAAUACAACUAUCAAAUCAUAUUUUAAAUCAGAAAAUGCUAUUUUUAGUUUUCUUAAUAGGAUAGAGAAAAGAAGAAGAUGCGUAGAUUGUUAGGCAACUUAAGAUGUGUGAUUCUCAAAUAUCGUUUUCAAUUAAAAAUAAACCUUUCUAUUUCAAGAACUUUAUUAUUUCCAAGUUUCAAUUUGACCAGGAACACUUCACCUGUAACUCCCUGUCCCUUUUUUUGUUUAUGUGAUAAGAUUGUUCUUAUCACAUUAAAUCGUGAUGUUUUUGUCCAUUCUUUAUCUCAUUAUCAACGGUUAGAUUUUACCUGUUUAGUAAACUGUGAUUAUUGAUUUGAUAACAAUUCAUAAUUGAAACUAUGUGAUUAUUCAUUUAUAGUAGUUUCGAGUUAUAAAUUUGGUACUAAUACGUAAGGUUACUAAUAUAAUGGGAUUGUAAAUAUAAUAAUUCAGUGUGAAUGGUUUGAAGAGAAUGACUUUUUACUGGUCUUUCUUUUUAACAAAAAGAAUGACUUUUUUUACAUUUACUAUUCUUACGGUACGGGUCACUAUUAUUGGUGUUGUUAUUUAGGAUAAGUAUUAGAAAGAAAAAAGUUCACAUGGUUACAUAUAAUUUGUUUUAUUUGUUUAACAAAUGUUAUCCAUCUCGUGAAAACAAUGUAUGCAUGCAUGAACCUUGUAAAGUAUAUUUUUAUAUUAUUAAAGCAACUGGUCCUCUUGUCUUAUUCCAGUGUCUACCGUUAUAAGAAAUUAUAAUAUUAAUAUCUUUUUUUUUUUUCGUUUAUAAUACUAAUAUCUAAAACUAUAUAUUAAAAAUUCAAUGAAAGUUUGGAUAGAAAAUCGAUUUCCAUGUGAAGGUGGUAAUGAUGAUGAAUGAUGAGGAUGUUGAUGAUGAAAUUCAGUUAGACUUUGAAGACAUUUUGAACAACUUUACUUACCUUCGCCAUAUUAUAUGUCAAGUAUUUUCUUUUCAUGAUCGAAUCACGUGUUUUGUUCAUACGAGGUUGUCAUUUGCAUUGCUACAACAUGUGCACUCUAUUUUUUCUUAGCGUCAUUUCGUUUGAUUUAUAAAAAUAUAUAAAAAAUCGUAUGUAUAUGGCUGGAAUGAAAUUUGGAUCGUUAUUGAAAGGUGAAGUAAUAAUUACGUUUUUCAUACUCUUUUUUUCAAAUUAAAAAAAAAAAUCUGAUUUUCUAGACUUAAAACGAGCAAGAUAUAUAAGUUUGACAAGUUGCAAAAGAGAAAUAAAAUUUAUAGCACCAAAGAGAAUGUAAGACUCUAGAAGGUUAGAUGCAUACAUUCAAAAGUAGUCACUUAUCAGUUAUCACUAUUUAUUUAUUGAUCAUGACAUAUAUGAUAUAGCAUGACAUAUUUAACAAUUCUUGGAAGAUUUUCAAGAUCCAUUUCAAGAAAACCUUAAUAAAACCAUUUCAAGACAUAGCGUGUGGCACCAUCGAUUUUAUUUUUGGGUUAAAUUUUUAUCAAUUACUCGGGUCGUCGGAUUUACUUUCUUUCGAAUUGUAAUCGGGGUUUUUAUUAUUCUUGUAAUAAAUUUACAAGGUAAAAUGACAUGCAAAAAUUUUGAUGGUAACCGUUAAUAGAGAUACAAUAAUGGAGCACAAUGACUCUAGAAGGUUAGAUGCAUACAUUCAAAAGAAUGACAAUAUGUAACCAUAGAACUAAUCAUUUUUCAUGUUAUCAUGUAACUGGAAAUAUUUUUAAAAUCUUUAUAGAAGAUGUUGUAUACAUGAGUAACUAUGUGUAUUAUCCAUAUAAAUAAGUCGCGAAUCAGGCAUUAGGCAAUAUGAUUUGUUGAAAUUGCAAGCAAUCACACAAUCAAUGGAAGCUCAGGUUCUGUCUGUUACAUAUAAUUUAUGGUUUCAUCUCUUGUUGUUCGAAUGAUUUUGCCUUACUUCUAUACCCAUAUUGUUUUCAUGGUAGUGUGGUGGAUUUUAAGGAUGAGUUGCUUCGUGUACACAAUCGAUCUCAUGGCACUUUAGUAAUGACUUCGGUCAAGUACAAAUAAAAUGUAAAGAAACAUUGGCAUGAUGUUCAAUUUAGUGUCCGUAAUAGGUUAGGGUGUAUUGUCUUACCCAAAGACCGUUUUCUGGCUCAAGAGUACAAUAAGAUUAAGGCCUAGCUAGAAAAUUGGUAUGCUAGAGGUCGUUGAGAAAUUAAAUUUCAAUGCAUACCGUUUGAAGCUUCUCCACAUAUUCACACCACGAAUGUCUUCAAUAUCAAGCACUUAUACGCUUAUGAAUUGGACGAAGAGGUUCUCGAUCUUCCUCAUGCUAGGAUGGGGCGGCUCAUGAAGCAUAUAUACUACUCUAUUCUUUUUGAUGUUGAGUUUUGUUUUACUUUUGACUUUUUCAUCGCUUUAGUUAUCUUUUUCACAAGUAGAAUCCUACUUCGGUUUUGUUUCUGAUAUUUGGUCGUUUCUCUUAGGAAAAAGACUAGCUCAAUUUUAACUUAAAAAGCACUUAGUCGUCGUUCGUUUUGUGUUUUUAUUCACAAGCAGAUUCUUGUAAAUAGGUGUCAUUCGUUUUUGUGUUUUUGUGUUUUUGUCACCUUUUUAUAGUAGAGAAAAUCUAAAAAGAGAUUUUGAAGAAAAUAUAUCUCUUAUUUUUCCGCACAAUUUUUUUUAGAAUUCAACGGACCUGAGAAUAAUUGGAUAACCUGUAUUACAAAUUUACAAUAAUUUACCAAUGUGUUAUCAGUACUUUUGUGAUAUUUUUUUUUUUUUGAUAAAAUUUCAAUGCCUAAAUGUUUUGAAACUAUAUAGAUAUGAAAUAUAUAUCACAAGACAAGACAAGUAGAUAUGAAGUAUAUAUACAAAAGAGAGAAUUCUUUAUAAACGGGAAAGAAUAUAACGUUUGGUGAUAGAUUAUAGUCAUAUAACACAAUCAUAAUUUCAUUGAAAAUGUGUAUUAGUGUAUUAAACUAUUAAUCAUGUGACUUUUAGACUGAGUUCCCUUCUUAAAGCAAUCAAUAGUUGGACUCUCAUUGGGAUAUUUUGUAAUAUUGGCUAUUAAUGAAAUCAAAUCAAUCAUUCUAAAGCUAAUCCUUUCUUUUUUGUUUUAGCAGUCCUUUCCUUUUCAGGAAAUAUUAAAACAAAUUCCAUAAAAAUAUCUUAGUUUUGGUGAGCCCGAAACACACGUGUCGAUUUUUCUUUGAAACGGCAAGAGUUUUAAUCGUAUUGGCAAUGCCAACCUUCUCAUGGACACGUCACACGUACUAGCAAUUCCAAAAUGCGCACGUGGUGGUAUAUCAGUGGGGAAGAGAAAAUGGUAAGCAUCUUCUAAAACUAUUCUUAAUUAUCAUAAUUAAAGUAUUUGAAAAUAACUAAUUUAGUUAAUUACUUUAGUUUAAGUUGGGAUUUGAAGUUUGACUAAUGCUUCCUUGGGCGAAACAUGGGCUUGUGAGAGGGAACAAGACAUGAGUCGAUAGUUCAUUGGUUUGUAGAAAAUGGAUAAUAUAAAUGUUGUAUUGUUAAAGUUAGGCGAUCCAAUGUCAAAAAAAAGUUAGGCAAUCGAAUUUGUAGAUAUACUAAUUAAAUUAAUCACUUGCUAAUAGGAUCAUGGUCAACACUUUGCCGUAAAGCUUGAUUUGUUGUAAUUUUAUAAUUGUGCUGUUAGCUUAGUUUGAUAAAUCGAAUCUUCCAUACUAAAAUUCUAAGUAACGGGAUUGAGGAAAUCUCACAGCUCUCUAACCCUUUUCUGAAACUAAAUUGAAAAACUAGAUAUAUAUGGUUUUUACGAGUGUCUCAUGAUCACGUUAACUUAGAGUACGGUGCAAUGAAGACGCAGUUUCAACUAAUUCAAGUACUAUAUCGACUUUAGACAUAUUGAGAGAAAGAGUUGAAGACAAAAAGCGUUUUCUAGAGAUUUAUGUGUUUUGGUAUUUUCGGGGAAAAUAUCGGUAUUGAACUGAAGUUUUUUCCUUGAACUAAAUAAAUCGAUAUAUAUAUAGUAGAUGCAUUAAUGCAUAACGUAUUGCUUAACCUUGUUUUAAUUAUGUAAAGAAGUGUUAUAUGGAACCAAAAUCUUACAAUCCCUUAUGUUGAAAUAAUAUAAUAAUUUUCUUACAAAAAACAUAUGAUGGUCGAUAAUUGAUGUCAAUAUAUAUUUAUUUCAGCAUGAACAACGGCUUCGCGGCGUUUCCUUCUCUAUUGUUGGAACGACGCUUCUAUAUCUUUCCCUUAAAGAGACAAAAAAAUGAAAAAAAAAAUGAAUAACAGUAGAAAAGUUGAGACGUAUGAACCAAUGUUGAGAUACAAAAUUUAGCAAAUUUAUGGUGGUUCAGGCGUUGAGUGAUUAAUGAUUUGGCAUGCAAACCCUAACUCAUAGCUACAAUCAAUGCCUGCGUGGUAGGGUCUAAACGACCCUAGUUCCACAACGUUAGGCUCUUGGUCUAUGUUUACCUUUUAGAAAUUGCCGGAGUCAUUAAUUAAAGUUAACAAAACUUUCUAAGAACACAUAUUGAACCCAAAUUUGGUCAUGGAAGUUACUUCUUCCGUGUGGUUUAACCGAGUUAAUUUUAUAAAUUAUCCCCAACAUAGAAUUAGUCCAUCGGUUGGUUUAAAUCACUCAAUUUAGUAGUUUUUGUCAGUUUUUUUCCGUUCUAAAAUAUCUAUAUAUAUACACUCACAUAUCAUCAAUUUGACGCUCAUUUGUGAGAGCCUUUUUGGCUAUCUCCAGAAAAGCUUCUUCAACAUUGAUUUUUGCCUUUGCUGAAGUCUCAAAGUAUACUAUAUUCCCCUUUGAUCCACACCAUUGGUCAGCUAUCUCCUUUGCAACCUGCGUAAGAUAAACCCGCAUAAAUUAGAGUUUAGAUGGAUCAAGAGAAAAGGUGUUUUUAGAGAAUAUGUACUCAAUCUUACAACUCGGGGUUUUCCAUUGUUUACAUCAGUUUUGUUGCCCAUCAAAACAAAAGGAAACUUGGUAGGUGUCUCAGGAUUUGCCUGAAAAUUAUGAGGGGUUUGAGGUAAGAGCUAGUGAUAUUAAGUACUCAAUAUAAUACAGGAUAACUGUAAUGUUAUCCGCCAGAAACUAGCAAAGAGACGGUUUUGGAUCCCGUCUCUAGGAGAUGUAGGGUUUUCGAUUAUGAAAUUCAGAUAUUAAAAAAAAAAAACGGUUUUGCGACCUGUUUGAUAAACUCGUCGUGCCAGUUGUCGAUAGAUUCAAAGGUUUUAAGAGUAUUCACGUCAUAGACGAGAACACAACAAUCUGUGUCUCGGUAGAAUCGUGAUGGUAAACUUUUAAAUCUUUCUUGUCCAGCAGUAUCCCAAAUCUGUGCGAAAGAAAAAAAAGUGUUUUUGAAUAAAAAAGAUUAACUUGUGGAGUAAGGGAUUAAUAUAUUUACUUGUAAAAUGACUUGUCUUUCUGCGAUACAAAUCUCCUUGGUGACUAAAUCUACAUAUAUUGUAGAAUUAUGUAGCUGCUUAAAAUCCUUGUCAUUGUAUCUUCGGCCACAAGUUAUGGUUUUUACAACGAUGGGAAGAUAUAGAAAGAGAUAACGAAAAUAUAGCAAGCCGAAGAUUUAACAGAAACCAAAAAAAUUGAAAUGUGCAAUCUAAAGAGGAUACCGCUUCAACAGUGAUGUUUUGCCUACCCUGCAUAGAGAGUUAGAAAGAAAGGAAAACACUAGUUUUUAAGAGAAAGUCUCGAAAAUCUUGAAAAAUAGACAAAGUUUUAACUAGUAUACCCGCUAUCGCCGAGGAGAAUGAUCUUAAGCUUUGUUUUUUCCAUAAGCACACGAAAGAAGUCUACAGAGAUUGUUCCCUGAUUCUAUUUCUGAAAUUUUCAAGUUAUGGGUUUUUGGACAGAAAUCAAAGAAGUCUACUGUACUGUUUCUACCAUCUACGACAUUGUCUAUCAAUUUUAAUUAUUUUUAAUUUUGAAGAGAGAACGGGCUCUUAUAUGAAACUAUGAACCGUUAUGCCAUUGCCAGGCCAGCAAUCAAACCCAAAAAUCUAAAUAUUUUUUACUUUUUGAAAAUCUUAUUAUAUAAAUCUUAAUACGUUUCACAAGAAUUAUAUACACUAAAAUAUAUAUAGUUCAGCACAUCCUGAAAAGUGUGAUUGAAUUUACUAAAUUUUGACAAGUUUUUAUAUGAUCAUAUAAUAUUGAUACGUAUUUCACAAGAAUUUUGAUAGGUGUCAAAAAAUAAUAGCAAUGCGUAAUGUAUGUUAGUUAAAUUUACAUGAUUAUAUAACAUUUAUUGAAAUAUUUUUUUUUACAACGAAAAUUCAAUCACCAAUAUCCACUAUUAUGCAUAAAGACAAUUUAUAUUUUUAUUUUGGCAAGGAUUAUGUAUAGCAGUAUAGGAAAUCAAAUGUAUGGUAAGUCGAUUAUGAAUAAUAGCAAAUAAAUUAGUGCAUACUUUAUCAUUAAUGACAUGUUCACACGAUUUCAAAAGAGAGUAAUUUUGACAUAGUUCGGUAAUAUGAACAUCUAUUAUAAAAUCCCCAACUUAUGUACACCAAUUGAUUUUUGUUUUUUCUAAAAGAAUAUACACCAACUGCAUUAAUAUUUAUUUCAAAACAUGACAUUUCUAAUAACAUAGUAGUAUAUAAUAUAUACUAAAAAAUAGGAGUACAGUCAGAGCUGAGGAAGGAUGAAUUCAACAACUUCAGUAAUACUAUGGUCGUCAACCCCAGGGAUGGGCCAAAACUUAUUUGUUAACACCUAUAAAGUAAUCAAGCCAAGUGUAUCUUUGUUUAAAUUUUAGAGUAGUUAGUAAAUUAUUCACUUGGCCCAAAAAAAAAAGAAGUAAAUGAUGCCACUUGGUUUAGAACAAAGAAAAUUUAAAUUAUGAAGUAGAAGGAGUCGAAAAUAUUCGAAAACAGUUAUAGACGGGAUUAUAUAUAUGAAUAUAUCUACCCAUUAAUUUAAAACCAUUUUUUUUCCUAGUUGCUGAAAUAUGACUUUAUCAAUUUUGCUUAAUUUUCAUCUUUAAAGACAGAAAAACGAAUACUAGUGUAUUAUCCAUUGUGUUUUGAAAGACGUGUUAUCCAUUGUUGUCGCCAAAGAAACAUAGUGUCGCCAAACAAUUCUCCAUAACCAUAAUCAAUAGUAAAUCAGUAAAUUAAAUAGAAGUGAGAGCCCGAGCGAAAAUUGAAGUACAUCCACUAAUGAGUGUUUCUUAGACACAAAGGCAGCUAUAGCAUAGGCAAAGCAAAAGUGAGAGCUAGCCAAACCGCACUUACUUUCACGUAUAUAUCUUCCCUUAUGCUUUGUUUUGUGCUUAAGAACAAGCAAAAGCUUAAUCCGGAGGAGUUGGUAUGUUACAUUUUUACAAAAAAUUUAACCAUUGCUUUUAGUCCUUAUCGAGUCAAAGUGCGUUUCGCGUCUUUUGGUUGUUUUCCAAGUUACAUGUUACUUAGCUCAAGAUUGAAGCUUUUGGACAAAGUUUGGAUAAAACAACGUGUGAGUUAAUAAGGAGGCUGGACAGGAAAAACAGGAUCGGUCGAUCAUGUACCACUCCUUGACAGCUUGACUAUGGAUCGAUAGAAACUAUCUUUAGAUAAUAUAAUCCGGAAAUUUUGGGGGCAAGAAUCUUUAAUUUCUCUUCUUUUAGGACUCUUAUAUUAGUCAUGGUGUGUAUAUUCAGCUGAAGAAUCACUAGAAGCCUCUUUAGUGAAAAGUUUAACUAUUUGAAAAAAGGAUCACCAUCCACGUCUAUUUUUGUUGCGUUACUUCAAGCGUAUAUUCAGCUGAAGAAUUAAACAAUUAAAAAGGUCAAACACUAUUUGAAUAAUUCGAAAACUUGGGGGUUUUUAAAUCAGUAAUUUUCCAUAAAGAUUGAAAUAUUCCAAGCUUUGUGCUUAAUUCGCUUCUGCUCCAGCCUAGUCCUUAAGUUCCAUGAUCACCUGAAAACCUCGUAAAUGAUUUGUAAAUUUUCUCUUGAGGUCGGUGAAUUUAACUUUGUGUGGCUUCUAUUUCUCUAUUUCUUUCAUACCACAUAAUAUGUUAGGGUUUGAGUUUGGUUUAGGGUUGUUUUAGACAACAAUCAUUGAUAUUAAUUCUGUCUUCUUCUGAUUCCCAUUGUGUACAAUAAUCUUAUUGAUGAUUUUGGGUUACUGAUUGUUCUCAUAAUUUCCGAUUUAUGUAGUCUAGUCUAGGCUAUAGUGAUCUUAGCUAGCUAUGAAAUGUUUUUCUUUUUCUAUCAGGUUUGCGUGCAGGAGAAUUGAGUUUCCAUCAUCGCUAAGUUUGCUGAUUCUUCACAAUGAGUAAUGUGUUCCACGAAUACGAUCAGCAAUAUAGCGAGCUCUCCAUAAAUCUUUCAAAGAAGUGUUCCUUGGCUUUUUCUCUCAAAGGAGGUAAACUGAUAUCUCGAAUCUCUUCCUCUUCUUUUUUUUUCUUUAAUAACCAAAACGUUUUACCGAUCACUAUAGUCUAUAAUCUUUUCAAACUAGGAGAACAGAGGAAGUUAAUUAAAUUAGAGUCUCCUCUCCUUCAUGGAUACUUGAAUUAAUGAUCUUGAAAACUAAAAUGUUUUCUUAGAGAAGUGUAGAAAAAAAAAAGAUACACAAUCUUUUAGAGAUGUUUUGGUUUGGGUUUGAUGUGGUAUUGUAUCUUUUAAAUUAUCAUCAUUUUUUAGUCCAUUUUUUGCCUAGCCUAAGAUACAUAGAUGAUACUUUACUAAUUUACAGGAGAGAAGAAGGAGAAGCUGUCCGAAAUAACAUAUGAUCUGGAAAAUGCAGAAAAAUUGGUAUGUGGAUAUAGAAGUAUUCUAUCUAUGUUUCCCCUAUGAUGAUUCUCUGCCUUUUAUUUCACUAGAUUUCGAAAAUGGAUCAUGCAGCAAGUAACCUUCCACCCAAUAUCAAAUCCAUCCUUCUUGAAAAAUUAAAGGAAUCCAAAUCGAGUCUAAAAAGAUUGAGAAAUGAAAUCAAGAGGAACACAUCUGAAAACUUGAAAGUUACUACUCGAGAAGAAGUUCUUGAAGCUGAAAAGGCGGUAUGUAAGGACAUGGUUUUGUUCAAUCUAAUAUAAUCUUGAUCUUGCUAGUAAAACACAUUUUGGUAUAUUUUUAUUGAGUUAAGGAUUUAGCUGAUCAAAGAUCAAGAUUGAUGAAAUCAACCGAGGGUUUGGUUCGAACUAGAGAGAUGAUUAAGGACAGUCAAAGAAAACUGCUGGAGACUGAAAAUAUUGGUAUUUCAAUACUCGAGAACUUGCAAAGGCAGAAAGAGUCUCUCCAAAACAGCCAAGCUAUGGUAGACUUUUCUCUUACUUAAUAGGUCCUCUAGUUUUUGAAACUAUAUAUUUUUCAAUAUCCCAACAAGGUGAAUUGAACUAAGUGGCAAAUAAAAUGAUUAUUUAGGGAUCUUCCAUGAAGUAGACUACUUUUCUUUAUCUACGACAUCAUCGACUGGGCUAAAACCUAGUGAAUUUGAACAAGACUUUUCUCUUAUUUCAUAUUCAUUGAUUCAUUAGAUAUAUAUAUAUAUAUAUAUUAUUUAUUUUUGUAUGAAUAUAAUAACUAGUAGCUUUUCAAAUAGUUUGAGAUGAUCUUUUUGCUUGGUAUUGCUUUAACCAAUGUUAUAACGUUGUUACAGCUUCAUGAGAUAGAUGAUACUGUCAAAGAGAGCCGGUCAAUCGUGAGAAGCAUAAAGAUCAAGGAAUUUUUUACUGUGACUGCACCAAUUAUCAUUUACUUUUUAUUCAAACUCGUCAAGUAAGCCUUGCAUGCAUGCGCUUCCUAACCUGAUCUCGGAUUCUGAACAAUUGUUGUGUUCACUUGUGAAUCGUGGAUUUAUUCUUCUAUUAUCUGUUUGUGUGAAGUUCUUUCUUUUGCUUCCUGUUGCAUUCUUGACUUGUCUUCGUUAAUCAAAUAUGAAAUAACUCUUGUUUAUUCUUCAUAUAUCCGAUCCAAAACUAGAAUUUCCAUACGUUAUUUUGGAAUAUUUUUUUCUAAAUAUUUUAUUACACAAAAAUUUGUUUUCAAAAUUAGUAAUAGUAUUUCAUAUGAUUGUGACACGAUUCGCAAUAGAUUUCUAUUUUAGAAAUGUAAUAGAUUUCUAUUUUAGAAAUAAAAAUAAAAUAAGAUUGGAGCAAACUAAACUCUUAACAAUUUAUAUAUGUGGUCAAAUCUUGUAUUCAAAUGACAAAUGGGUGGUUCACCAGAUCAAUGUGAAUAAGAACAUAUAAAUAAAUAAAUAACGAUAAUAAUAUUAACCGACAUAACAGUAGUACUUUCCUACAUGUUGAGCCGAAGUUGAAUUUUGACAUUGUACUAUAUCUUAGCUGUUAAUAAAGAAAGAACAAAAAGUUAGAACGAAACAUUUCAUUGUACAAUCAUAUAUAAUGUAUAUAUGUAAUGUAAAGAAAUGAAUAGAUAAGUAACUAAAUAAAUAAACUUUAUAAACUUGCUCUACUUUAGCAUCUCAACCAAUAAUGUAAUAGACCUAGAAAUUAAAUCCACAUAUAGUUUAAGGGACUUAAACAAAAUUGAGAAAAAAUGAAUUUGUUUAAACCAAAAUAGAUAUAUCAACAAAUAAUGACUCAAAAUAUAAAGUUUAAGUCUCAUUAUAUUAGACCAUCCCCAUAAAAUAAGUCAUCCAUAUUCAUAUCAUAUUAGUGAUAUUUGGGAUUUUUUACGUGUCAUCGUAAGCCUAGAAUGAGAGGAAGAGACAGUUGCAUAGCCAUAGAUGACUUGCCGGGCUAGCUUGGUUACACUUCUUGCCCCAACACACAUAUAUAAAUAAGUAAAUACUUUUUCGUAUUAUAUUACGUACGAAAAAAAAUCAACUAAAACUAUGUAGAUAAGUAAAUAUAUAUAAACCAUCAUCUCCAUAAUAUAAAUCGAAUAUAGAGUAAUCAUAAUACAAGCUACCGGCAAGUCAUCCUUGGCUGAACAACAAUGGCCUUUUUCCCACAUUCAAGGCUUUAGAUGAGACAAUCCAUUCACACCUUCAUUUUCAUUCUGUAAGAUUCCCUAACCAUAAUUAAUACUCAUAAUGGACGAAAAAAAAAAAAUGAGAGCAAAAGAGGUGUUGUGAAAAUUCUCUCGUUUGUGAAUGUAGUUUUUGUUCCAAGAAUUGUGGAGAUAAAUAGCAAACGAAAAAAAAACAUUUGGAGAAAAGAUGAAGAGAUCUUUCAAGUUUGUAUGUGGCAUUGUCUUGCUCUCUUGAAGUAUAAGGUGUAUCGUACUUAUAGAUCUUUCUACCAGUUUCCAAUUGCUCAUUAAUGUUUUGGCUUUGCUGCAUAGGCUCGUCUUCCAAUAGCUUCGUACAUUUAUGACAGUUUUAUAUGUUCAUAAUUAGUCUUCAAUAUAUUAUAAGUUUAUAUUCUAAUUCCUCGAGAGAGGCAUGAAUCAUGCUAUAUUAUAGAUUUAAUCCCAGCAAUGAAAGGUGGAUAUAUAAUGCACGUAUGAGGAACUUUACUAUUAUACUAUAUAUGCACAUGAAUUUAUUCUGGUUGUUUUUGUAAUAUUAUUCAAACUAACCAACCAAAGAACGAAAAAAUUAAUCUUUAGUAUACUCAUGACCUUCUAUUUUACUAAACUUAACUUUUUUUUUCUCUUGUAAUAAAAACUUGUCACGUCAUAAAUCAUAAUAUACUGAUAUAUGAUAGACAAACCAAACUUUAGUUCUCUUGCAAUCUAAAAUGAAUUUCAACUGAUAUGUUUUCUUAUAAACAUUGAAAUGGGUACACAACUCUAACCAGUGGAGAAUUGAAAAGAAAAAAUAGUACAUUUGUAUACUAUUUAAGGGAAGUACUGACAAUGGUAUAAAGAAGGAAGUGUGUACUUGAAUAAGUUAUCGAGUUAUGUGAAGUCUUUAUCAUACAAGUACACUUUUACAUAUUUAAUUUAAUAACUCACAUUUCAACCAAUAGAAAGUACAACUACAUUAUUUUUUCUUUCUCUUUUAGUUUUAGCUCCUUGUCCACUGUUCAUGUUUCACUGGGAUGAUUUUCUCUAGAAAGCAAUCGUAUAUCCUUUUUCUGCAACACUGCUGUUUCGUCUGUUGUAUAUUGCAAUGCUUCGGGUUCUCAAAGUAUAGUAACGCAAGGCGAAAAAAAAAAAAAAAAAAAAAGUAUAGUAAUGCAAUUGUUAAUAAAAAAAAUGAUUUGACUAUCUUCUGAUCAAAAUUUAAAUAAACAUAACUAUAUAUACAUCUUCUACAUUAUAACAUUUCUUAAUCUCGUGUAUUGUUGUUUUUUUCUUUUUGGUAGUUCAUAAAGCAUUAAACGUUGUUAUAGGAUCGAUCAGAUCGUUACUUGUGAUGGUUGAGGUGGAUAUUCCUUCCAAUCACAGAAUCCUAAUCAUAUCAGUAUAGUCAUUUUCUUGUUCUCUAAAGUUCUAUAAAAUAAUUGAUUUAUUAGUAAAUGUAACAAUCUACGACAUUUAAAUGUCUUAAUUCGAAGAUUAAAGAGUGAUUUAUUUUGGUUUUGGGAUAAAACUGAAAAGAUUGUGACCCACGUCGAUUGCAAUCUGCAACUACUGCCAUCAAUAGAUGAUUUAGUCAAUUUUAAAAUUAAUCACUAUUUGCAACUAAAUAAAUGUUGAUCAUGCGAUAGCAAUAUCCUAAUGGCUAGUGAUGAAGUUAUAAAUGGUAAAUAAUGGCCCCUUCCCUCCUACUUUUCAAUUUUGGAAAAAAUAUUAUUAAUUAAUCUUUUGAAAACUUUAGAGCAUCUCCAAUGAGUUUAAAACAUUAAUAUGAUGUUACAUAUUGAGUUUAAUAUGUAUUCUUAUGGUAAAAUAUGUAUUCACUUGAGCAUGUUACAUAUUGGAAUAAUUAUCUGAUUAUACCAUCUGAAUUUAACUUGAAACUUUGUACAUACGUAGGAAAAAAAUAUCGUGUUGUAUAAAAGAAAUCUCCAAUGGAGUUUUUUAUUAUAUAUAAUUAAUGUGUGGUUAACAAAAAUAAUAUAAAAAUGAAAUACAUAUAUAACAUUAGAAAUAAAUUACCAAAUUCGUAAAUUUUAAUUAAAGAAUCAUUCAGGUGUCUUUAAAAAAUAAUUUGAACAGUACUAUACAAAUGCACAAAUUUGGAACAAUGCUACAUACACAUAAGAGGAGUGUUAAGGUAGCCAAUGGCAGUGAUUGUGAGAGGACCAGGGUAGCCUGCCUUCUUCAACUCCGAUUCUAUAGAGUGAGCGACCAUUCUAGCAUCAUAACCAUCGGGAACCGGACAGCUGUUGAUGUCCCACCACACCAUCGUUUUUGGCUCCUGCUUCGCCUCGUUCGUAUUUCUUGAAUCCAUGGUUUUCAACAUACAAAUAUCAGUCAUCCUCAAAAUUCGGAUUAACAAAUCGCUUCUUUACUCAGAUGAAAUCACCGACCGAUGGAUGGUGCGGCGGAAUAGGGCAAGUUACACAUGUUUACCGAUACUAGUGGCUGUUUUAUAUGGGCUCAGAUUCGUGGCCUAUCAUCAAUGCCUGGAAGACACCUUCCAAGACUCGGAUGUUCUCUACAACAUAUCGAUUUUUCUUCAGAUAUCCACGGUGCAAUGUGUUUUUGUCCAUUUAUUUGAAUGGAUCCUACAUUUAAUCAAAAAAAAUAUCAUGUGAAUUGAUUUUCCAACAUCAAAACUACAUGACAAAACAUUAACGCUUUAGUACUAAAUACAAAAAAAAAACAUACCUAUACAUAGCACAAUAGCAGCAAAUAAAACAAAAGAGACAACAUUUGUUUUAACCAUCUUUCUCUUUUUUCUUUGUUAAAUCAAAAGAUUACGAAUUUUUGAUAUUUUUGUAUUUGAAUGAGAAUGAAGAAAGAGUUGUUUCGUAUUUAUAAUUAGAACUCUAACUCUAUUCAAGCGAUCCUUCAAAUUAACAUUAGUAAGGAAUACAAUAUAUUUGGUCAACCAAAUUAAAAACAUGUUUCCAAAAAGAUUAGAUUCCAACUUUGACUACAUUAUUACAAGAUAUACAUGACUUAUUUAGAUAAACGUAUUUGGUAAUUUGCAAGGUAAAGCAAACAAUUAUUUUCUAAGGGUUUAUUCUGUCAAGAGAUAUGAUUAGAUACUCAUUCAUUUCUCAAUAUUCCAAUUCACUAGUUUAGGAAAUUAUACUUAUUGCAUAAUCUUGAGGCUCACGCGCCUACUACUUGUAUAUAAACAAGCUCAAUAUCUCUUUGUGAAAUAUAUCAAACAUACAUCUUCUACAAAUUCCAAAAUCAAUGGGCAAUAAAUAGAUUUGUCUAAUUAAAAAAAAACAAAUACUGAUAUGGGAUUCUAAUAGAAAAAAAAGAAAAAUAUACAUUCUAUUUACGCGCAUUUAAUCCAAGGAAAAUGUUGAUCUUCACUAUAUAUAAUGUCUAUCAAAUUAAUUCUCUUGCGAAGGACUCUUUGUUUGCUUUCAACCUAGACUUUGUCUAAGGGAGUGAAUAUCAGUAGUUGCAAAAAAAAAAAAAAAAUCAUGAUUGAAAUAUUGUUCAAGUUGUAUCUAAGUAACUACGAAAAUAUGCUUAAACUGAUUUUUCUUUUAUAAAUUAUUUUAUAGAAAUUUUAAUAUGUGUUUGUAUACUUAUCAACAUAUUUUCACAUGUUUUUAGAAACUAAUUGUAAUAACAACUCGAUUCUAGCAUCUCUUUAUUAAUUAACUUUAUCGAUUUAACUAGACUUUAUAUCCUAUGGAUUUAAAUGGUUCAGAUAAUUAAGAAAUCCACCCCAAAACACUUGGAUGCGAUUCUAUCGGAAAAGAUCGGAUCAACUGAUAAGAACAUAUAAAUAAAAAUUAAAGUUUAUUAGCUAGUUUUUUUUUUUUUUUUUCACUGAUGAACAAAAACCGUGGAACCAAUGAAAUUCGUAUAAAUGGGCUUCAUAAGUGGCCCAAGCCUUGUUCCUUGAAAGGGCAGUUCUGCCAUAGCUAAUUUUUUUUAAUCAAGCCCAAAUAUGGUUUGUCCGUAAAUGAGGGAUUUCCUUUUACCCAAAUCCACCGGAAAAGUAUUAGAGACAAAUACAUCAUCUCUUAAGUAAUGUUUCAUUUGAUAGAAUAAUAACUUGCGGAAAUUUUCUUUAAGAAACACAUGGCUUGGGCCAAUUCAUGGACUUCAAGCCCAUUUACACUAAUUUCAUUUGUUCCACGUGGCUUGUUAUCAGAGAGAGCAAGAAUUCUAAAACCUUUCCCACAUAAACCGUCGUCCGAUGAAACUCUAUAACCGUCAAUAACCGCCGCGAUUUGAAAAAUAAAUACAAAAAUCUCAUUCUCCAUUAAACCAUUUAACACAACAUACGAAAAACUGGUAAAUCACAAAAGAAAAAAACAGAGAGAAACACACGAAAAUGGAGAAAACAGAGGAAAGCGUCGGAAUCAGAGUUUACACGGCGACUCCGCCGCAAAAACCAUCACCAUCACCACCUUCUCGUUCACCAAAACCCGUCUUAAUCUCUUCAUUGCCUUCCCUCCCGUCAGGAGCCGCCGCUGGAGGAGGAAGAGGUCGAAAACGUCGCAUGGUGGCGCAAGGAGUUCAAAAAACGGUUUCGAAGACAUCAAUGCUCGUCAACUUCCUUCCGACAGGAACACUCUUGAUGUUCGAAAUGGUUCUUCCAUCAAUAUACCGUGACGGAGACUGUAACGGAAUCAACACACUCAUGAUUCAUCUCCUCUUGCUUCUUUGCGCAAUGUCUUGUUUCUUCUUCCAUUUUACCGACAGUUUCAAAGCAUCCGAUGGGAAGAUCUACUACGGUUUCGUGACGCCACGUGGACUCGCGGUGUUCAUGAAACCGCCGCCUCCAGAGUUUGGUGGCGGAGAUGUUAUAGCGGAGGCAGAGAUUCCGGUGACUGAUGAUAGGUAUAAGUUGACGGUUAAUGACUUUGUUCAUGCAGUGAUGAGCGUUUUGGUGUUUAUGGCGAUUGCGUUUUCGGAUCGAAGAGUCACGGGAUGUUUGUUUCCAGGGAAAGAGAAAGAGAUGGAUCAAGUUAUGGAGAGUUUUCCAAUAAUGGUUGGAAUUGUUUGUAGUGCUUUGUUUCUUGUUUUUCCGACCACUCGAUAUGGUGUUGGUUGCAUGACUGGUUAAUUUAUUUUCACUUUUCUGUUUUUUGGUUUGUUUUAGUAUCUAUUUCGUAUUUUCCUUGUAAUUUAGAUUAUCUGAUUUAAACUCCAAUGUUCUACUAUUUUUAUCUAUUGUAUUGUUAAAUAAAAUGUUGUGUUGAUUCUAUCUAGACUUGUUUGAUAGGAGGAGUACAUUAUGACGUUAGUAAAAGCUUCCUCAAUGCAGUACUUUUUUUGUUAAGAUCUCAAACUAUGCAAUUAAUUACCAAUUGAGUCCGUGAUGUAGUGGAGGCCAAAAAAAAAAAAAAGAGUCCGCGUGGGCUUUGUCCUUUUUGUUGUGUAGGCAUGUCAUGUUGGCCCAAAGUCUUAAUCUCCACGUUGUGUUUUGUAUCUAUUUUAUUUAGAUUAGAUUAUGAGUUCUUUAGAUUUGAGCUUAUCAACCCCUGAGUUGUAUAAGUGUUCAUUGUCUUCAGUUUCUGAUGAAUUGAUAGGAUUAAAAAGUGAUUUUUUUUCAUAACACGUUCCUUGUUUCGGCACUCUUUCAAAGAUAUCAACAUAGUCAAGAAGACGAGAAGGUCCCUUGUUCAUAUCCCGCAAUUCUACAAAGAACCAGCGUUAUCAAAGACUAACAAGAAGAAAAGUGACAAAAUAUAAGAUUGGAAGAAAGAAGAAAAAAGAGAAGAAGAAGAAAUUUCAAAUAUGUGAGGGAUCGAACAAACCAAAAUACUAGUAUUUAUAUGGUUAUGCUUUGAUAUCAUGUCAGAAAAUUCAUCAGUAUGAAAAGAAAAUUCUUAAUUUUAUUGAUUAGCCAGUAAAAUUAUCUACAUAAACACAUAACUUGAUCUACAAAUUUUCUAUAAAUACGAAGAUAAAAAGUCUACCCAAUUAGCAAUAAUGAAAUGGAGUUUUGUUUUUCCUAGUAACGAUAUGAAAAUUUAUUCGAAUCAAUCUUGUAUUGUAAUAUUCGAAAUUUGAUCACCAUGUUUUCAUUAAGCAAAAAUUCUCCGUUUUCACCAAGAGUCACUUAAUGAACUUAGCCAGCUUUUACAAUAUAGUUCAUUCAAGUUCUUUUUUUUUUUUUUUUACAAUAUAGUUCAUUCAAGUUCUUUUUUUUUUUUUUUUUACAAUAUAGUUCAUUCAAGUUCUUUUUUUUUUUUUUUUUUACAAUAUAGUUCAUUCAAGUUCUAAUUCGAGAAUGUUCAAGUCAUGUGAUAUAUCAACGAGACUUGUUUUUAUACGAAAAAUGCUAAUUUUAAUAAAACAAAACUCAAAUAACGUUUCUUUAGUUCGGGGAAACAGUCGAAAAAUGAUAAAAUAUGUUUCCUAAGAAUCUUUAUCAGUCGUGCCUCCAAGUGGGGAUAAUAUAAUAAAUGUAAUGAAAAAACUUUAUUAUAUAGUAUAUAUUUGUGAUUUGGGGUGGUCUGAAAUAAAGGUACUAUAUACUUAUCCACAUAAUUGCACUUUUUCAAUGUUAGACUUGGCGUUCAAUUACUUCUUAUCCACAAUAUUGCACUUUUUCCAAAUCGACUUGGCGUUCAUUAGUAACCACAACUUCUAACAUCGACUUAUUACAGCCACGUAUCUCUGAUAUGUUGAAGAUUUUAUGACAAGAAUAUAGGCAAAAAAGAGGAAAGAAACUGAAGAUCCACUAUAUAGUAAAUACUUGUAGCUUCAUUUAAAAAAAAGAAAGUGAUUUCAAUGUUAAUUUAUUUUUCCUACAAGUACCAAGCUAAAACUGUAACUAAAUGACUAUUAUUAUCAGCGUAAAAAAACACAUACUCCUUUUGUUUUUUUUUUUUGAUUUUCUAGAAAAAAAUUGUUUCAAAAAGAUUGAUUUUUUGGUUUUCAAUGCAAUAUUUAUUUAGUUAUAAUUGAUAAAUUGUAAACUUCAAUAAGAAUUAUUGAAUAUCAUUGGUUUAGAGUUAUUGAAAAUUAUAAAUUACAAAGAAUAAUACAUUUAAAAGCAACAUUUAAUAUGUUUUCUUAAUAUUUGUGUUUUUCCUAAAAAAUCAAAGAAAAAAGAACACAAGGAGUAUCAAUCUGUAAAAUGGAUUUGUUUGAAGACAAAGAUUGGUUUUUUUGGGGAUAAAAUACUAUAUUUUUUUAGUAUUUUAAUUUUUUGUUGGAUCUUCUUAGUUCUUUAAAAAUGAGAAAAUUAAUGUUUAUAUCAUGUAAUUUGUUUCUUUCAUAAAUAUGUUUUUUUUUUCUUUCUCUCCAAAUCUAAUCAUGAUAUUGUUUUCCAUGGAUAUGGCUAUUAUAGAAAGCUAGGAAUUAAAAAGUGUUUCAAGGUUUUAAAUAUGUUUUUUGUUUGUUACUCUAAAGUUUGUUUUUUCUUCUGAAAUUUCAUUUAUAAACAGUAAUUUUUUAAUAAAUGUGUGGGUAACAAAAAAUUUAUUGACAUAGUUAGAAUUAGAAAACAUGUAAAUUAGAAGUUAAAUGGCCUUUAAUCAACCAUUUUUACAUUAAUUUAAAAAAAUUCAGACUUUUAAAAUAAAAAAGUUAAAAAUGAAAAGAAAAGUAAAAGUAAAAAAAAGUGCUGACCACUGACCAGAUUGAAAAGGAAAAUAAAAAGAAAGCCAAAAAGAGACGAAAAAGAGAAAAAAAAAAGUCCACAAAAACAAAAAUAAACUUGUGGCUAAGAAUCCUCACGUGUGAUGACGUGGCACUCUGGGCGAAUCAAAAGGUUGUACAAUUCGAAAGAUCACAAACCCAAAAAGCAAAAUCUGUAAAUCUUUUUUCUUUCUCUCUCGCAAAGACAAAAAAGCAUUCCCAAUUAACAAAUCUAGAAAUCAAAACUCAGACAACCACCGAUAACAAGACAGUCGUUUCUCUCUCUCUUUUAAACAAAUAAAAAUUGGAACUUUUUUCCUCUGUCUUCUCAAAAAGUUUCCGCUUUUUGCUCGCUGGAGAAGAAAGAAAGAAAGAAGUGAAAAGGAAUCAUUACCAUGGCUGAUCCGGCGAUUAAGCUCUUUGGAAAGACGAUUCCUUUACCUGAGCUUGGUGUUGUUGAUUCUUCUUCUAGCUAUACCGGAUUUUUAACCGAAACUCAGAUUCCUGUUCGGUUAUCAGAUUCGUGUACCGGCGAUGAUGAUGAUGAAGAGAUGGGUGAUUCCGGUUUAGGACGAGAAGAAGGUGAUGAUGUUGGUGAUGGUGGAGGAGAGAGCGAGACUGAUAAAAAGGUUAGUUUUUUUUGGAACUUGUGAAUUGAUUUUGAUUUGUUAAAUGGAAAUGAUUGAUGGGUUUAUGUUAGAUUGGUCAAAUCUUAGUUUUAUUGAUAAAGUUAUGAUUUUUGGUUUGUUUAUGUAAGAACUAGGUUUUCAGAGCUUUUGGGGAUUCGAAAAUUGUAAAUCUGGAUUCUCAAAUGAGUUUUUUUUUUUCCUUUUGUUAUAAAGUGAUUUGAGAUCUUAAUUAGUUCCAUUUGGUUUUGAUUGAUGGUUAUAGGUUUUGAUAUUGAUUUGCUUAAGAACUUUUCAGGGUUUUAGCUUCUCUGUGAUUGGAAUCAAGUCUUUGAUCCCUGUAGCUUCUAGCUUCUGUUUGUUGUUUGUUUGAUUAGGAUACAUAACAACGAUCUGACUCUGGUUCUUAUGUUAUUCUUCAGGAAGAAAAAGAUAGUGAGUGUCAGGAAGAGUCAUUGAGGAAUGAAUCUAAUGAUGUUACUACUACUACAUCGGGUAUAACUGAAAAAACGGAAACAACAAAAGCUGCAAAGACGAAUGAAGAGUCAGGUGGUACUGCUUGCUCUCAAGAGGGGAAGUUAAAGAAACCUGAUAAGAUUCUACCGUGUCCGCGAUGUAACAGCAUGGAAACCAAGUUCUGUUACUACAACAACUAUAAUGUUAACCAACCUCGCCAUUUCUGCAAGAAAUGUCAGAGAUAUUGGACAGCUGGUGGAACGAUGAGGAAUGUUCCGGUUGGUGCUGGGAGACGUAAGAAUAAGAGUCCAGCUUCUCAUUAUAACCGUCAUGUAAGUAUAACAUCUGCGGAAGCUAUGCAGAAGGUGGCGAGAACUGAUCUUCAACAUCCUAAUGGUGCAAAUCUUCUCACUUUUGGCUCUGAUUCUGUGCUUUGUGAAUCUAUGGCUUCUGGAUUGAAUCUUGUUGAGAAGUCAUUGUUGAAGACACAAACUGUAUUGCAAGAACCCAAUGAAGGCUUGAAGAUUACGGUUCCGUUAAACCAGACAAACGAAGAAGCUGGAACAGUCAGCCCGUUACCAAAAGUUCCAUGCUUUCCAGGACCACCACCAACUUGGCCUUACGCUUGGAACGGAGUUUCGUGGACGAUUUUACCGUUUUACCCUCCACCGGCUUACUGGAGCUGCCCGGGGGUUUCACCGGGGGCAUGGAACAGCUUCACAUGGAUGCCACAACCCAAUUCACCAUCUGGUUCCAAUCCAAAUUCUCCUACACUAGGUAAACAUUCACGUGACGAGAACGCUGCUGAACCAGGAACCGCUUUUGAUGAAACCGAGUCACUUGGUAGGGAGAAAAGCAAACCCGAGAGAUGCUUGUGGGUUCCCAAGACGCUGAGGAUUGAUGAUCCAGAGGAAGCUGCUAAAAGUUCCAUCUGGGAAACAUUAGGGAUCAAAAAAGACGAAAAUGCGGAUACUUUCGGAGCUUUCAGAUCAUCAACCAAAGAAAAAAGCAGUCUUUCUGAAGGAAGACUUCCGGGAAGAAGACCGGAGUUGCAAGCGAAUCCUGCUGCUCUUUCUAGGUCAGCAAACUUCCAUGAGAGCUCAUAGAAAGAAGAAGAAUCUAAGCAGCUGAUUUGAUUGUUUUUGGGUUCAGUCUUGUGUUCCAAGAAAGCAGGUGAGUCCUUUUGUACAUAUAGCUAUAUAUACACACACAUGUUUGUGUAUAUAUAUAUAAUGGUUGACAUAGUGAGGGAUAAGUAGUUUUUGGAUUGCAGAGUGAAAGUUUGUUGUAUCAUAAAUGAAAAAACCUCAAAACUGUAGUUAAAUAAAUGUAUCUUGCAUGAAUAACUUAUUUUCCCUAUCAUGACAUUGUAUGUUCACAGACAAAUUCAAACAAGUUUAAAGGAACGUUUAUAGUUAUCCACAUGAUGUAUGAUUCUCAGAAUCUUGAGAGUGAUCUAACUUAUUGGACUUCAGUAGUAGUGGCAGCAACAAGCUUGUUUUCGGCAUCCGCGGAGGAGCGAACCACUGUCUUCAACUUCUUAGAUGACCGCGAUGUCAAGUGUUUACCAUGGUAAAUCAGGUUUGCUUUAGUAGAUGUGUAGUCAUUCUUAUAACCAGUCCAAAAAUCACCCAACAAAGACAUGAACCAAGUCUCGAAAAAGCAAGCCGCGAUCACCAAUACUGCGAAAAUAACGCAAACACAGCUUCUUCACUGCAAGCAAAUGGUCAUGGUUGAUGCAUGAAUGGAGAGUCUAUUGACAACAUACAUAAGCAAAAGCAAUGUGGUAGAUGCAUGAAGAGAAGAUAUUGCAAGCUGCCAACUACGGUUCGAUAUUUGUAUAAUCUAGGAUUAAAAAUAUUAAAGAAACCACACUAAAUGGAUUGACAAAGUCAGCUAUAUCAGAAGAUUUAUCGUCUAUUGACCAAAACAACCAAUGAAAGAACAUUUUGAUACUAUAUUAAGAGAUAAGUAGUAAAUUAAUAUAGAAGAAGUUUGUGAAAAACGCCAAAAGAAAAAGAAAGCCACUACCUUGUUUGUUCAGUUGCAAUUUCCAGGAAAUUUAGUAAGGAAAUUAGUUGCAAUUGUGACAUUAAAUUCGUGUUAGUCUUUUUCAUGACUAGAACAAUAAGAGUACUAUUGAAUUAGUCAUCGUUUAAUUGAUUUCUUACGUUUGGUCAAACAAGUCACGGAUUAUGGUGAGAAAACGAUUACUUAAUUGUGGAAAUUAGCUAUAAGAAAUUUUCCUUUGCUUUUUAUGUUUUUCUUAGUCUACUUGUUUGUCUCGCUGCCUUACUCUUGCAAAAUUUAUACGAAAUUUCGUCUGAAUAUUUUACAUAAAGUAAAGUAAGUAUUCAUAUGAAAUUUGUAUCAAAAUUUGUCAAGACUAGUAAGAAUGAACUGAACCACACAAUACAACAAUUCAAACCAUGACCAAAAAUAUGUCGAUUUGGUUUAGAAAACAAAUAAAACCUCUAAAAAACCUAUAAAACCAAAAAGAUACUCCUUCUAUAUAUAUUUUGGAGAUUUUUUUCCAAUUUAUAUUAUAAGAUGUAUUCAACUUUCUACGAAAAUUAUAUAUUAAUAUUUUAUAAUCAUUUGUAUUGUGCAGUUUUUUUUAUAAUUGGUAAAUUUUUAAAAAUUUAAAUAUUUCUUAAUUUACGUGUUUUUAGUCAAAACAUCUUAUACCUACAUAUACAUUUUUGCAGCCAUUUUAUGAAAUAAAUCUUGUAGUUGGAAAUAAUUUACAAUGGCUGCCACUGAAUUUUAAUGUUUGUUUUUGAUAAUUAGAAAAAAAAUCUUCGAAUUAAAUAUUUGACAUUUAACAACCUUCCCUAAAUCUCUCCACAUUAACUACACAAUUAGUUACUAAAAUAAAACUUCCAAAAUAUUUAAUAUCAUUUAAUUACUACAAAAUUAUCAUUUUUAAUAUUGCUUUUCUCCAUGACUAUAACAAUUCGAUUAUAAUCAUCAAACCGCAGAGAUAUUUGAUAACAUUUAAUUACUACAAAAUUACAAUAUAUUUAGACAAUAAUUCAUAAACAUAUCAUAAAUAAGAUCAACAUUAAUUUAAAAAUAAAUAAUACAUUUUGCAAACUUUUAUGUAUACUAACUUUAAAAAAUAAAUUGUUCCGCGGUAUACCGCGGGUUAAAAUCUAGUUAACAUCUUAUAUUUUGACAAUGAAGGAGUAUCCCCGACCGUAUCAUGUAUGAUAUCUAAGACACACAUACAUAUUUUAACAUUUCCUUAGUUUUCUUAACAAUGUAAGGGGUCACCAAUCAAAACCUUAAUUGUAAUAUAUACAUAGGUGUAUAAUACAAUUUAAUAUUAAUAUGACCAACUUCUUUCCAAAAAAGUACAAAAAACAAUUCCCCAUCAAAGGUGCAGAAGAAAUUUCCUCUUAAUUCUUUAUUUAUUAUCUUACACCAAGUCUUUUUGUAAGUUUCUCCUUUCCCUAUCCUUCUUGGUCUCUUCUUCCAACUGCAACUUCCUCUCUUUUGCCUCGCCACCAAAAUUGUGUCCACAUUGACUUAUUCAUCAUCUAUAUAUACACAACCAUAAAAACAAACUCAUAUCUCCAACAUCUCCUCCAAAACAUUCUUUUCCUUGUGAUUCAUUAUUUUGCCUAGUUUUACUUUUCAAAUAGACUUCUAACAAAAGUUAUGACUGAAAACCAAUUAUAUAGCUUUAUAACCAUGAAGAGUUCAUUGUCUAAAUGCAAACAGUCUUCUUCUUUGUCUUUCCCUUUGUUUGGUCUGAUCAACUUCUUCCUCAUCGGUUUUUUCAGAUGGGUUUCUUUUGCUCAGUUAUUUUUCUCUAGGUUCUGGCCUCUUGUUCAACACCAGCAAUGUGUUUCCGAGAAGAAGAGCAAAGAUCUUGAGUUCCAAACUUCGAUCAAACACGAAGAAUAUCGUGAUGAUGAUGAUGAUGGUCUUUGCAGAGAAGAUGUAGGGAUGGUUAUGAAAAGCUUAGGGCUUUCCACUGACCAAGAAAACGAGGGACUUCAAAAACAGUACAGUUCCAAGGAGGUUUCGAAUCUGUUCGAAGAGAAAGAGCCAAGCUUAGAGGAAGUGAAGCAAGCUUUUGAUGUCUUUGAUGAAAACAGAGAUGGGUUUAUCGAUCCUAUAGAUUUGCAGAGAGUUUUGACAAUCCUUGGCUUAAAGCAAGGAUCUAACCUUGAGAACUGCAGGAGAAUGAUCAGAUCAUUCGAUGGAAGUAAAGACGGAAGAAUCGAUUUCUAUGGAUUUGUGAAAUUCAUGGAGAACAACUUCUGCUGAAAUCGUAUUUCCUUAAAGUAUCAAUUUCUGCACUUCUUUUCUUCUUGCUUUGAGAUUGUGUCUGUUAAUACUGUUGUCUCCGCACCUUGUAUAAACUACCAAACUUUCAUAUCAAAAGCUCUGCUAUAGAGCGUAAAAACCAAUGAGUUUGGAAAUAAUUGUCACAGACAUGAAUAAUCUGCCAAAAGGUGUUAUUAUACACUAUUUACACCUAGAGAUUGAUGACUAAAGGGAUCUCAAAAAAUGAUGCAACUUAUUUUAGUACUACUUACAAUAACUGAAGCUCGUGAGGCCGCAAUAGAGGUGCAAGAGCUCUCCAUCACUCUAUAAUUCAACCUUUGGUUUAUAGCUUCACCAGUAAUCACAGCAAGAACACUGACCAUCUAGGAAAUGAUGGAACCGAUUGGAAUCUCUGAUAACUAUGUAUCGUUUUGAGAUCUUCGAGAUAAGCUUAAUUGCAGAGUGACAAUCAUCACAUAUCCUCACGUUUUUAGUCACGUACAAUGGUGAUUUCUCUGGCGUUUUUAUCAGACCAUAUGCCACAGCUAGCUUCUCACUAUGAUAAGAGAGGUUAUCUUCUCUCUGUUCUUCAUCGACAUCAUGGAAAGCUCCAGCAACAUCAGGCGAAUACCCUAAUGGUUUAAUCUUCGACAUAACUUCCUUAACCUUUGCAUAAAUCAGCGUAAUCUCGGGGUGUUGAUUAUCCUCUGCAAGAAACACAUGGGUUUGAUUACGUAUCCCUAUCCAGCUUACUCCAGGCUCCUUCUUAACACCUCUGUUAUUCAUCAAAGAACGCACUUUUGCCACACCUUCCCACUCCCUUGACUUGGCGUGGAUAUUGGAUAACAAUACGUAAACUCCUGAGUCGUUUGGAUACUUCUCAAUGGCAUAUUCUGCUACUUUUUUUCCUAACCUGUAAUUCCGGCGAACAUAACAAGCAUUUAGCAAAGUUCUCCAUGCAACAACAUCCCAUUCAAUUGGAGCUGUUCUCAUGAAAUCCUCAGCAUCCUUGAACAUUCCAGCCUUGCUCAAAAGUCCAACAAUGCAUGUAUAAUGCUGUAUAUCAGGCUGGACAUCAAAUUUCUUCAUCAGCUGAUUAAAGUAAUGAAGCCCUUGCUCCACAAAACCAAUAUGGCUACAAGCCUGCAAAACGCCGAUAAAAGUUAUGCGGUUGGGAAUCUCUCCUGUAAAAAUCAUUCUAUCAAAGGCUUCAAGCGCUUCCCUCCCCAAUCCAUGAUGUGAGCAUCCAGAUAUCAUUGUGUUCCAAGUAACUAUAUCUCUAAAAGUCAUGCCUGAGAAUGCUUUCCUUGCAUCCUCAAUGCUGCCACUUUUGGCGUACAUGUUAACCAAUGCAUUGCCUACCAUUACAUGGUUCCUAUAGCCGGAUUUCAAAACAAGUCCAUGUAGAAGAUCGCCCUGUUUUAGAAGCGAUAGCUCUGCAAUUGAAUUCAGCAAAAUAGCAAAGGUGUACUCAUUUGGUGGAACCUCUUUAGUAUCCAUCUUUGAAAACAGAUUCAGAGCCUCCUCGAAAGACUUAUCCUGGAAGUAAGCAUCCAUGAUCGUUGUAUUCAAGAAAAUGUUUUGAGCGUGUGUAUCAUCGAAAACUCUCUGAGCAUAAAGGACUUUACCACAUUUGCCAUACAUAUUAAUGAGUGCACCACAAGCCUCAACUUCAGCGUUGAAACCAAACCUCACCAUUCGGCUAUGAACCUGCAGAGCCAAAUUCAAAUCUCUGAGAUUGGAGAAAAGCCGUAAAGAAGACAAAUACGUGAGGUUGUUCCAAACAAAAUCUUCGUUAGCUGUCUUUCUCAAAACAUCAAGCCCUUCUUUAAAAGCACCACACUCUAGAUAACCACUAAGAGCAGAACUAAACACAGAAAGAUCACAAUAAGGAAGAUCAUCCAAAACUCGUAUAGCCUCGCCAUUCCCCGAACACAAAGAAUACAUGUAAACAAGAGUGUUCCGUACAAACUCAUGAGAAAUCAAACCAUACUUAAGAAAACAUCCAUGAAACUGUUUACCUUCUUCAAUCCUCCCAGAGUUUGAACAAGACUUAAAAACCACAGUAGCUACAAACUCAUUAGGUCUCGAUUCACCAGAAAAAAACAUACUUUUAAAAAGCUUCAAAACUUCAAAAUCAAACCCAGAAUUUUGAUAUCCCUUCAUCAUCGCACACCAAGAAACAACAUUUCUCUCAGGCAUUAAAUCGAACAGCUUGCGUGCACGAACAGUUUCUCUGCAUUUCACAUAGAGAUUGAUCAGAGAAUUGAUCUGAUACGCGUCUUCAGCUCUAGAUGAUUGGUUGGUAACAAUCAAAUGAGCGUGAAUCGAUUCUCCAAUUCUUAGAUAACUUGAAUUAGCACAGACUUUCAAAAGCUCGUUUAGACGAUCAAUCGGAAAAGGAGUUUUUUUUGAUUUGGGUACUAAAGACGCGAGCUUGUCCCACUUUAACAAUCGUUGUUCGAUCACAGACAAGGCUGACAUGGCGCCAAAAUUGAUAUUUUUCUUCCCAAAGUAACCAGAGAUUAUGAGGAAGGUGCUUUUAAGUUUUAACGGAAAGUUUCGAAGUCAACAAUCACUAGUCUCUUUGACUUUGACCCAUUUAAACAUGUACAUUACGGCUUAGAACUUUUAAAUAAAACUGUUGUGAAAAUUAUUAAAAAAAAUUACAUUAAUUGUUCUUUAUGCUAAUUUAUAUUUAUUAUUUAUUUAUUUUUGUAUUGUUAAUAAAAUUAGAUCUAUAAUAUGUAAUUACAAUUUUUAUGUUUAGAUUUAUUUGUGAGUCGAAAUAUCAAUUUAUAUAUAUUAUGUAUAAAGCUGAUUAUUUAUAAAAUUUUAAUAUUUUUUCACUUCAUGAAUACAUAUAACAACAAUAAUGAUAUUUUGAUACAAUUAUAUAUAACUAUGUUACUUUUGUGGUUUAAGAUUUUCCUAACUCGAUUAUAAAUAAAUCAAUUUCUUAUUUUAUGUACGUCAACAACAUUGUGAGACUCAUAAUUAAAGUUUGGAUUGACAUCAACUAAAAAAGAUCUGAAAAAUAUUCGUACAAAAAAAUAAAAAGAUAGCAAAAAUGAAUGUCACUGAAGUCAACACUUUUGGAUCUUUUGUCAUUGUAUAUAUCAAUAUUAGAGAAAUGAUCUUGUUUUGGAUGAUUUGAAAUUUGUUCAACUUGAUUAUAAAUAAACUAUUUAUGGUUUAAUUUAUUCUCCAGAUAUAAUACUCCAACAAAAUUGUUAUAGGCUCAUGAUUAAAUAUAGAAUUGAUAUAAACUGAAUAAGAUUUCAAGAGUAUUAUGAAAGAUUUUAGAAUUCUAUUUAUAAUCUAGUGUUAUUCAAUUAAAGAUUAAAAAAAAAAUUUACUUGAAUGCAAUGAGUUUUUGACCAACCAAUAAAAAUAGAGAAAUUUAAAGAGAAAAAUAAAAAAUUAUAAUACGAAUUUCUAAAGUAGAACUCAAAUUCUCUCUAAUACAACAUCACCCUUCUCUGUUCAACAAGCACCUCACGCAACAUAGGUAAACUAGAAGAUUAUCGUGAAGCAAUUACCAUCAUAUCGGCAAAUUUUGCUUUCCGUUUGUGAUUUUUUUUUAUUUUCUUGAAAGUAAACAGUUAAAGAGAUACAUAUAAGUAUAUAACAUGUUUUUCCGGCGAAAUUCACAGCCUUUCCGGCGAGCUACAUCAUGCUCAGUCACACUCGACCCUCAGGUAAACUCUAAAGAUCUUCUUCCUAUCUAGUUGCUAUCACUGGCUCUAUCUAAACUUUGUCUAACAUUUUCGGAAAAACAGUCUAUUUCCCCACAAUAACUAUGACAUCAUGCCAGAUAGAGCCCGAACUAUGACUACAAUCCAGUUGUCCCCGAAAAGAUACUUUUCGAUCUAUAUCUCCCCAAAAUCGAUAGUUUUUAUCUAUUUCCCCAUAUAUUUGGGUUUAAUCGGUUUGCUGACCAAACCCAAUAAAAAUUCACUCAACCCGAUACCAAACCACUUUAUAUGUCAAGCCUCUUUAAAAAAAAAAGAAAAAAAAUAAUAAUAAUAAAAAAAAGAAAUAACAAAAUUGUUGUCGUCUUGUUUUCUCCAUUCUUCCCCAUAAAAUUCCAGAUUAUGCUUAUUUGAAAAAAUAGUUUAUCUCUCUCUUUGAUUGUUACGAUGGGUGUUAGAUUUAUUUUGAAUCCACAUACAAAUUUGUCGUAACUAAUUAAGAGAUAUUCAACAAAGCAUUUUAAACGCAUUCUAAUUGUUAAUAACGUUAACAUCGACAUUGACCUGAAAACUGGAAUCGUUACUAAGAAUAUGGCUAAGAAAGAGAAGAUCGAGGUGAGCUUCCACAGGAAUUUUACAAUUCACAAAAGAACAACCCAAUUAAACAAAAUCAACAUCUCAAUUAUUAAAUAAGUUUUAUCCAAAUUCUAUUACUGUUCUUUCAAUUGCUCAUCUUAAAAUCAAUCUGGGAAUUACAAAAACCAGAAAACAAUCAACACAAACCAUCAAGUCGACAAUGGCUGAUUCAGCGUUAUCAAUCUUCUACAAAAUGAAGCAAGUGAUUUCAAUGGGUGGAAUAAUGUGGGAAGGUCUCAAUUCGAGUUUAAUCAAAGUCGAUGAAGCUUUGCUUAAGCAGCAGAUCCGAGUGGAGAUGAGGAAUAAAAAGAAAAGGGGAAAAACUGGAAAAUAUAUCUAUAGCCACCAUCACCGGAGCCGACAUCACCAUCACCAUUGAAAGGAAGAAGAACGUCAUCGUGUUGUUAUUGUUUCAUAAUAAUUCAAUUAAUUAAUUAAUUUAUUUAUUUAGUGAUACUCGGUUAGAUUAGGUUUAUUCUGGUUUAGUGUUUUCAUUAGUUAGUUAUAAAAAUAGUAAACCGAACAAAAUCAAUGGCUGUGGGUAAAUAGGUGAAAACUAUGCUUAUGGGAUAGAUAUAGGUUUUGAACUAUAGAUUCAUAGAGAUAUAGAUUGAGAAGUAUCUUUUCGGGGCCAUCUGGAUCGUCUUCAUAAAUCGGGCUCUAUCUGGCAUGAUGUCAUAGUUCUCGUGGAGAAAUAGACCGUUUUCAACAUUUUCUUCUAAUCAACACUAUUUCUAAUUUAACAUGAAAAUGGUAUAAGUUUUUCAAAAAUAGAUUUGUUUCACAUUUUCUGUAAUCAACGUUUAUUUCUUUGUUAACUUGUGUUUGGAGUAAUUUACACUCUAGCUUACAUUAUUCCACAAUUUUAAAGUUUGUUAGCUAAACAUGAAACUUUUCCUUUUCCAAAUCUCAAUUUGAUAAAUCUAAAUCAAAUCCGAUAUUAUCUGAAUCCCAUAUUAUUUCAAUUUCGAUAAAUUUUAUAAACCGUCUUAUUACAUUCUUAUAAAUAAGAGACAUUCUUAUCAGAUAACUUGUCUCCGUCCAUAUGUAUUGUUUACUUAGUUGAAUUCUUUAGUUUAUUAAGGGAUUAACAUAUAUAUCUAUAUAUAUUUUUGAAACAGAGGAAUUCGAGAAGGGUAACGAUAAAGAAUGGUUUAUUAUAACGGAGAGGAACAAAGUUGAUCAAGGUUUAAGCCAAACAAAGAGAGUUGGUAAUGGUGCGAAAAGGCAGAAACGUGUUGACACUAACGGAGGAUAUUGGCACGCAACAGUGGCUGCCCAAAAGAUCAACGCUGGAGAUGGUGUCGUUGGCAACAAAAGGCCACUUGCAUACUACGAUAGGAAACCAUCAGAAGACGUCAAAACUGAUUGGUUAAUGCAAGAAUACUCUCUUGAUCACAACAACGACAAGGUAAGUAUGUCUUGGUUCCCAAGUUAUUUAGGUUUUCAAGUUUUGGAUUCUGUUUUGAGUCUUGUUUUUGUUGUGCGUCUAGGAUUACACUUUGUGCAAGAUUUAUCUUACUCCACAAGCAACAAAGAAGUUGGAGAAGAGAAGAAGAAGCAGAAGAAAGGAGAACCUGUGGAAGCAUCGGAAGGGCAGCAGCCUUGUAAUGCCGAGUAUCAUCAACCGCUAGCACCUCUAGAUUCUUGCCAACCGCAGCCUCAUGAUUUGGCUGAGCAGCUGGAUUUGCAUCAACCAGAACAGUUGCAGCUGCAACAGCCUCAUGAUAUUGUGUAUCAACCACAGUAUUGUUUACUUCCAGAACAACAUCAGCUGCAGCCUUUUCCUGAUAACUUUUCUGAGUUGAACAGCUUUCAACAGCAACCAGUGAUGAUCCCAGACGAUUUAGAAGAUUUCUUGGCUGAAUUAAUGGAGCCACAUUCACUGGAUGGAGAUGAAGAAUCCAACAAUUAUGGGUUUUUUGAAGGCUUAUUUGACACAGAAGGAAUUAAUGAUAAAACAUUACACUAACUGAUCUCAGUCUGUAAACUUUGUAUACUAAUGAUGAUGUGUUAGUAUAAAGCUGUAAACUUUGUAUACUAAUCAGUGUGCAUAAGUAUUGUUUAGCAAGGAAGAGAGGAAUACCGUGUUCUUUGACUCUAAAGUAUGUUCAUCGUCUAUGUGAUAGCACAAGCCAAUGAUAUCAUAUGACUCAGCAAAAAAAGGCAAGUAAACUCCUCUAGGAAAUCAUCAUCUCCAUCUAUUUCUUCAAAGCUCAUUAAGAUCUCUGCAUUUUAAAGGGAGAAGAUAAUUCCAAACCUUUGUGAGCAUAAUACCUUUUUAUACAUUGCAAAGUCAACUCUAUUUUUAAAAUUUUUGACUAUAUCGAGAAUAGUCGACAAUUGAUUUAUUUCUAUUACUAAUGGAUUUCAUAUAUUUUAAGUUGUCUUAAAGAAAAUACAACCAAUAUAUUUCACUUACAAAAUUGGUCUAUACUUUUCUAUAUAUUCAUAAUCAACUACAUUUAAAAGUGUUGACUAGAUUGAGAUUUCUCAUGAUAUACUUAAAUAGUUAAAUUCAAAAAAAAAAAAACGAUAUUUUUUUCUUUGAACAUAACUUAACGUUACAUUUUUAAAAACUGAUCUUGAAUAUGUGCUAAGAUCGAGAUGAUUGGUUCUAACAAUCAAAUGAGCGUGAACAGAUAUACUAAAGAUUAUGAACAAAUCAUUCAACAAAAGGCUGUUAAUGAAGUCGACCAUUUAUUUGUCUCAUAGUAAUAUUAAACUCUAACCGAUUGCCCUAAUGCAACAUCGUUAUUUAAACAAGAUCAGUUUCAGUUCAUCAGAGAAACAACAAUGGGUUUGCUAAAAUGACACGAUGUAUGCUUGCUCUUAGUUCCCGAAUUCUUGAACACUCUAAACCCAAAAAGGUUCCUCAAAUAUUGAACUCAAAAUGAAAAAAAAAAGUGAGAAUCGGCCUCUUGUUUCAUUUAUGUUGGAAGGCAACUAUGUCAUUGCAAUUACUCUCUAGGUUGUAAGUAUGAAUCUCGUUCUACCUUCUUAGGAAUGGUUGUUAAAUUAUGUUGCUACAUGUUCUACUAUAAGGGUCAUGUUACUGUACGUAUAAAAACCAUAUGUUUGUGUUACAACAUGUUCUAUUAUGGAUCUUUUUUUACUAAACCAAAGUACAAUUUUUUGUUGUGUGUUUUACUCAGUUAUAUCUUUUACUCUUUCAUCAGCUUACAAACUUCAAACCAAAAAGCAUUCAAAAAAAAUAAAUAAACAAAUGAGACCAACAAGGCAACACAUAAUUAGCCAUCAUACAAAUUCAGGCUAAAUUUAUGAAAAUAACAAUCCACAUCGUUGCUUUUAAAAAUUAGAGGUACCCACCAUUGUAAUUCUAGCAUGUGUAUGGUUGUCUAAGCCCACCACACAUGUUUUCAUACGGUAUAAGAAGUGUCAACUAUCUCAACACCAGAAUUGAACCAAUAAUAUGCUCAUCAGUGUUAAGCAACAAUCCCACAAUCCUUCAUCAGAAACAAAGCCUUCAUAUCUAUGAGACUGGUUUAGAAACAAGGAUAGAUAUGAAGGUUUUGCUUUUAUAGCUGAUGAGGAAUCGUGGAUUGUGGCUUAACUAUGAUGAGCCUAGUACUGGUCCAAUCCUGGAGUUGAGAUAGGUGAUACUUUCUUCUACCGUAUGGAAAUCUGUAUGGUGGGCAUACAUGGCCAGACAUAAGCGAGAGAAAGAGAGCCCAAUUUCAGGAGUUUUCUCAAGAAGGUGAAAGCUCUAUAGAGAGAGACAGAGAGAUGAUAUUUUCUGGUGAUGUGUUUUACAAAGGUGCACACUGUGUAUAUAUAUAUAUUGUGUUUAGAAAUUUAAAAGGUAGAAAAUCUUAUCCAACAACUACCACCAAAUAUAGGUAAUUGCAUGUCUAUAUAUUGUGUUUAGAAAAUAAGGUAGAAAAUCUUAUCCAACAACUACCACCAAUUAUUAGGUAAUUUCAUGUAUUUGUGUUUAGAUUCACUAAAAAAGUUUAUUAUAUAUAUAUAUAUAUAUAUUAGAUUACUGUUUUCCAAUUUUUUGAAUUAUAGUUUUUUUCCCACGAAUACUGUUAGGACAAUAAUCUUUGUAAAUUAUAAACACAUAUAUAUAAUAUAUGUAUGUAUUAUUUUGAUUUGGUUAAAAGAAUAAUAUUAUAAAUGGACAAUAAACGCAAUUUUGAGUAAUUUUGAAUUAUUAUUUAUUUUGUGGUAAAAAAAUAUAUGUAUGUAGUAGAUAAUCUAACAAAUAAUAAUUUAAAACUACUACGGAUUCUGAUUUUUACCAUAUUUUUGGCAAUUAAGCGAUUAUCCUGACUUUUCCGAUUUUGUUGAGCAAGUUGAGCAUGAUAUGCUCAAAGAUUUCUAACAUAUUUCCACACUUUUUUAGAAAUCUUUGAGCAUCGUAGAGAUUUAAUACUGGCUCAUGGAAGUAAAGAUCUUAAAAUAUUCAAAAAUAUUUAUUUAUUAUAAACGGUUGUGUUAGUAUAUUUAGUUUAAUUGAUAUAGUUUAUUACAAAAUAUCAAUUAUAUUUUCGGUACAUUAGAUUAAUUAAUAUAUUUUUGUUAUACUCAUGUUUCUAAAUGAUAUAAUAUUAUGAUUGGUAUUUUAUAAUUAAUAAUUAGUACAUUUCAUCAUGUUUUAAAAACAGUUAAGGUAAAAAGUUAAAAGUUUUACUAUAUCGUUAACCAACAGUUUUAAUACAAUUAUGGUUAAUUAAUGGUUUAAGUUACUAAAAUAUUUAAUCGUAUAUUUAUAGUUACGGUUUUUAACCGUUUUAAACGGUUACUAUAUUGUUACAGUUUAGAUAUGAUAUGAAUUACUGUCUCAAAUAUGGUUACUGUUUGAUUUUGGCCAUGCCUACCUUUCUGAUCUUCUGUAAGAUCUAUAACCCAUAAGGUUACUGUUUAAGUUGUUACCUUGUGUGGGAAUGUUGGAUUGGCCUAGUUUUAGACUCUCAGAUUCUUUAGCUUUGUACUUAUGAUGUCAAGUUAAAAUAGAGCUCCGAAAUUCUUGCGGUAAACAUGUACUUAUGAUUUACUAGAAACUUCAAAAAAAUAGAAAAACAAGCUCUUUGUUUUGACACUAUCUUGAAACUAGAAUUUCGAGAAAUAGAAGAACAAACUCUUGCUUUUCAUUGUUUGUAAAAAUGCAACCUUGUUAGGUUACGUUUCACAGUCCUCAUCAUUGGAAUUAAGGUUACAGUUAGGAAGUUCUUAAGUAGUUUCUUCAAGAAUCUCCUACCCCGAGAAAAUCUAUAUACCUCGGGGUUUUUGUAGUCAUUAUAUCUUCUGCUUCUGAUGAUGAUAGUAACGAUGAUGAUGAUGGUUGAGAGAUGGAGACAUGAGGUGUGAAUAAGGCCAAGGAAUUUGCAGGGAAGGUAGAGAAGUGAUGAUGAUGACAUGAGUGUUGCAAUGGCAUGCAUGAAGAAUAAUUCUUUUCUUGGAGAUAUUGAGCAUUGAGGUUAGUACUUUCAUGACUUACACUACCUGUAAACCACACAAUAAGAAAAAUAAACAUCAAGAACUCAGAAUUGAACCCAUAUUGCUGUGUGGUGUUUUAAAUCUAUUGUUUAGUAUUAAGGAGACACAAACCAGGAAGAAAGUUGGAGGUUUGAUAAUUCUGGAUGUUAUCGAAAGAUCUUAUGUCAGAAGCUGAUUGCUUCCUAAUGAUUCUAUUCAUGAGACUGUGCCAAUGAUUCUUAACAGCAUGGUCUGUUCUUCGAUUGAAAAGCUUAGCGAUCUUAGACCAUUUGUUACCAUAUAAUAUGUGAGCUCUAAGCAGCUUCUCUUCUUCCUCAUCAGUGAAAUUUCUUUUGUUAAUCUUCGGAUCGAGCUGGUUAAACCACCUUUGUCUACAACUUAGACCUUCAAACACAUAGAAAAACAAGAAAAAAAGAUUCAACUUUCAUGUCCAAAAAUAGAGUAAGUACGAAAGAAAAAAAAAACAAUAUUUUACUUGUUCUUGGUUCCAUCUUCUCUCCAAUGAAUUUCCAGUUCUGAGGACCAAAAACCGCCACAAGCUCUUUGAGUUUGAGAUCCUCUGAAAGUGUCCAGUGUCCACCCCUAUGUUUCUUCUUCUUCUCCUCUUGAUGCAUCUUUCUCAAUGGUAAUGCAUUGUUUUCUCCAAACCCAUUAAAUGGCCUCUGCAAUGAAACAUCACAAGGGGUAUUUUGAAAAACAUGAGUCUCCUCCAAAACUAUGUUACAUUUAUACAUAAACAGAUACAUAAUGUAUUGUUGUGUGAUAUUUCUCUGUUUAUCGUAUUAAAAUGUGUGAGUUAUAGAAUAGUUGUUGAAUGUUUCUUAAACCUUGCCAUGUAAAGAGGAUAAAUUUUGGUACACACACAUUUUUUCUAAAAGAACUUGACAGCACUAUAUGCAAAUAAGAUCUAAUCUCUAACACAGUAACACUAAUCCAUAAAUGCAUACAAAAAUAUUUGUUUCUUACGAAAUUUCGGAAGCACUGGAAAAAUAAUACUAGGAAUUUGAGAUCUAGUCUAAAAUCCGAUCCAUUCUCGGAUCCAAAUUUUGGUGUUUUUAAAGAUCAGGAGAUUUAAAUAUGGUUCGAAAUCUCUUUAGUAAAUAAAAGAAUAACUCAAAAUAUCACCAAAACAAAUUUUACUUUUAUAAAUUGGAGUGUUUGUAAAAUGGAUGUGAAGUGUUUUUAAGAGAUGUGUGUUAGACAAAGAUUGAUGAUUGAUGAUGAAGUGACAAUGGUGAAGACAAAGAUUGAUGAUUAAGUAUUUAACAACAUGAUUAGUAAUUAGAUUAAUCAGAAAGAUAUGAUAUGUUUAUACCUUGAAAGCUGACAAAGUAGACUGCAUUGGAACGAUACUCGAACUUCCCUUUGAUUCAACUAAUUAGAAAAAAUGAAAACUACUAAUAUACAUAUAGUAGAUUUUUGUUAAACAACAAAAAUAAAUGCUUUGAUAGUUUUGACAACAUUUUAAGGUAUUUAUUUUAACUCACUACCAAAAUAUGAUACUGAUGAAUGCAAAAACAAUGACUGAUUAUUUAAAGGUAGGUUUAUAAAGAAAAGUUGUUGAAUAAUUAGAUCAUGAAAACAAUCUAAUUUAGUUCUAAAUUGUCUCCAUCUUACCUAAUUUAAAAUUAAUUUACCAUUUAGAAUUAAGUAAAAAAUCUAGAAUUAAGAAAGAAAUCAGUCAUAUUUUCUUGUACAUUUGACUAUGGUUUACAUUUCAGUUAUGUUACUUAAUUCUAAAUUGUUUUCAUAUUUAGAAGAAAAUAUACAAUUUAUUAGAUCAUGAAAAUUGUAUAAAACACAGAACUUCCCAUUAAAAGUAGAAUUUUAUUUUUCAAAAUUUCGAACUUAAUUUUAGUUAUAGAAUUUCAUUGUUAUAAGUCAAUUUGUAUUAUCAAUUUUAAAAAUAAAUUUCUCAACCAAAUAUAAUAAAUUAUAGCCACAGAAAAAAAGCCACAGGUGAAAAAUGAUCGGACGGCUGAGAUCAAUUGUGCUUCUUCUUCUUCUUCUUCUUCUUCUUCUUCGAGCCUUUCUCUUCCUAAAACCCUAAAUGUUUCUCACUAAAACCCUAAUUCGACGAUCUCUCUCAACCUUCGCUUCUUCUCCUUCAGAUUCACUUCUCGCCGAUAAAGCUUUAACCUUUCUCAAACGCCAUCCAUACCAACUUCAUCAUCUCUCUGCAAAUUUCACACCAGAAGCAGCUUCAAAUCUCCUCCUCAAAUCUCAAAACGAUCAAGCACUAAUCCUCAAGUUCCUAAAUUGGGCAAACCCACAUCAAUUCUUCACUCUCCGUUGCAAAUGCAUCACUCUUCACAUCCUCACCAAAUUCAAACUCUACAAAACAGCUCAAAUCCUCGCCGAAGAUGUCGCAGCCAAAACCCUAGACGACGAAUACGCUUCUCUCGUCUUCAAAUCUCUACAAGAGACUUACGAUUUGUGUUAUUCAACUUCCUCUGUUUUCGAUUUAGUAGUGAAAUCUUACUCUCGUUUGAGUUUGAUUGAUAAGGCUUUAAGCAUUGUUCAUUUAGCUCAAGCUCAUGGCUUUAUGCCUGGAGUUUUGUCUUACAAUGCGGUGUUAGAUGCUACGAUUAGAUCUAAGAGGAACAUUAGUUUUGCUGAGAAUGUGUUCAAAGAAAUGUUGGAGAGCCAAGUUUCUCCUAAUGUGUUUACUUACAAUAUCUUGAUUAGAGGGUUUUGCUUUGCUGGGAAUAUAGAUGUUGCUUUAACGUUAUUCGAUAAAAUGGAGACGAAAGGUUGUUUACCAAAUGUUGUUACUUACAACACUUUGAUUGAUGGGUAUUGUAAGUUGCGUAAGAUUGAUGAUGGGUUUAAGCUUUUGAGAUCAAUGGCGUUAAAGGGUUUGGAGCCUAAUUUGAUUUCGUAUAAUGUUGUUAUCAACGGGUUAUGUAGAGAAGGGAGGAUGAAGGAGGUAAGUUUUGUUCUUACGGAGAUGAAUAGGAGAGGGUAUUCGCUUGAUGAAGUUACUUAUAAUACUCUUAUUAAAGGUUAUUGUAAAGAAGGUAAUUUUCAUCAAGCUCUUGUGAUGCAUGCUGAGAUGUUGAGACAUGGGUUGACACCUAGUGUUAUUACUUAUACUUCGUUGAUACAUAGUAUGUGUAAGGCUGGGAAUAUGAACAGGGCUAUGGAGUUUCUUGAUCAGAUGCGGGUUAGAGGGCUUUGUCCGAAUGAGCGUACUUACACGACGUUGGUUGAUGGGUUUUCUCAAAAGGGGUAUAUGAAUGAAGCUUAUCGGGUUUUGAGAGAGAUGAAUGAUAACGGGUUUUCUCCUUCGGUUGUGACUUAUAAUGCUUUGAUUAAUGGUCAUUGUGUUACUGGGAAAAUGGAAGAUGCGAUAGCAGUUCUCGAAGAUAUGAAGGAGAAAGGUUUGAGUCCGGAUGUAGUGAGUUAUAGCACGGUAUUAUCCGGCUUUUGUAGAAGUUAUGAUGUUGAUGAGGCGCUUAGAGUCAAGAGGGAAAUGGUUGAAAAAGGUAUCAAACCUGAUACAAUCACCUACUCAUCUCUGAUCCAAGGGUUUUGUGAACAGAGAAGGACUAAGGAAGCGUGUGAUCUUUACGAAGAAAUGCUGAGAGUUGGUCUUCCACCAGAUGAGUUUACUUACACAGCCUUGAUCAAUGCUUAUUGUAUGGAAGGCGAUUUGGAAAAAGCUCUACAGUUGCACAAUGAAAUGGUCGAGAAAGGAGUAUUGCCUGAUGUUGUCACUUACAGCGUGCUGAUCAACGGGCUUAACAAACAAUCUCGAACAAGAGAGGCAAAAAGACUUUUGCUCAAGCUGUUCUACGAAGAAUCAGUCCCUAGCGAUGUCACAUAUCACACACUCAUAGAAAACUGCAGUAACAUCGAGUUCAAAAGCGUAGUAUCUCUUAUUAAAGGAUUCUGUAUGAAAGGAAUGAUGACUGAAGCUGAUCAAGUUUUCGAAUCCAUGCUUGGGAAAAACCAUAAACCCGAUGGAACAGCAUACAACAUUAUGAUUCAUGGUCAUUGCAGAGCCGGAGAUAUCCGCAAAGCGUAUACUCUAUACAAAGAGAUGGUAAAAUCCGGAUUCCUUCUCCAUACUGUGACAGUGAUUGCUCUGGUUAAAGCCUUGCACAAGGAAGGGAAAGUUAAUGAAUUGAAUAGUGUGAUUGUGCAUGUAUUAAGAAGCUGUGAAUUGAGCGAAGCAGAGCAAGCCAAAGUGCUUGUGGAGAUCAAUCAUAGAGAAGGGAAUAUGGAUGUGGUUCUUGAUGUGCUUGCUGAAAUGGCCAAAGAUGGAUUUCUUCCCAACGGCAUAAGUUAAUCUAGUGAGUAAAAUCAUUUACAUGGGCAAUGGAUCAACCAUGCACCAGCAACAAUGAUGCUAAUCGUGGGAGAUUUUUCAGAAUACCGCGGUUUCGUAGCUGCUAUUCACCGUUUGAAGUUGAAAUGGUACAAUGUUAUCUUUGCAGUUUGUGUAAUAUAUAUAAGGCAAACAACUUAAUUAUUGUAAGACAUUGUUUAUAAUCCAUCAUCAAAGAAUGAAGAUAGAGAAACCAUUGCAAAUUGAACUAAGAGAACAUCUUAUAGGUUUUGGCUUGAAGGAUGAUCUGUCUCGCUCCACCUAUUGGUGCUAACACCGCGAUUAGGACUCCAACUAUUAUCGAGAUCUGUAAAUCAUCAAAUAUGUUCAAGAGUUAACUUUUUAAUUAGCAUUAUGUUAUAACAUAGUCGAUAUAUAUUUGUUUGGAAGAAAAGGUAGGCUCAUUUACCCAAGAUGCAAUCCAAUGAAAGCUCCAACGUUUUUGUUGUUUCAUGACCAACCAUAUAAUGCAUGGCAACUGCCAGAAAACAAAACAAAAUAUUAUUUUGUUAUAUUGAAACUGUUCUAUACUAACAUAACAUUCAUAUAUAUACUCAUGCAUAAACUUAGUUUUAGGUAUAAACUUACGAAGUAGGACGUUGAGGAGAAAACAAGACCGCCGAAAAAAUGGAAUAUAUACUGCUAUAAAUCCCACCAACGCUACAAAAACAACAACACAUAUAUAUACAUGUAACAUGUUACAUAAAGUAACCGUAAUCUAAUUAAGAACUUAACUACGUACGUACGUUUUAGUAAAAUACAUGUUUUGGUUACAUACCAACGUAUGAAGUACGUCCCACAAUACGAAGGCAUGUGGAAGGAGUGAACUUGAGAUUCUUCACCAGACACGACUCUAUUCCAUCAAAUACGGGCAUUGCAAAUACCUGUUUACAUCAUUAUACUACUUAUCUCUACCAGUCUUGCGAAGUUUAUUAUUCAAAGAGAAUAGUUGGCGUUCAAGAAAAAACUGGAUUUACCAUAAUAUUGGAAUGCUAGAAAUCAGCUUAUUCAAACUAAAUAAGAGGUUGUAAACGUGAGGUGCCAGACCCUUGUUGAGAGUGGGAUUAUAGGCCAAAUGCAUCGAAAACCAUCUCUACUGUGAUCUCUAAACAUUUGACCGGAAAAUGUUCAGGAGUGACGAUACAAGUUUAAAAACAAACUGUUGAUAUAUACAAGGGUAACUCAUAUUUGAAUUUGAUUAGAUUGAUUAAAUUAUUAAAAAGAGACGUACCUAUAAUGCCUUUUUUUUGCCAAAACUUUAGUUAUAAUAAUGUUCUGAAUUUGUUUUUCCCUUUAAAGACAUUGAAAUAGCAGUCUUCAAGAAAAGGAAUAUCCGUGUCGCAUAUUUAAGAUAACUUAUCAUCAUUGUAAAAACAACUUUAAUUAGAUAUGUAUCCAAAUAAUUGCCGACAAAUUAGAAGAAAACAAAAGGAACACGAAGGACUUGCUUUCAUACACUAACUGGUGUCACUAGUCGUCGAAGACUAACGCUGUCGUAAGAAAAUCAGUUCCACGUGUUCCGUACGCUGGAUCCGCCAACUGUUUAGAUUUUUAUUUUUCACGUUAUUAUAUAAAGUCAAACUCUAAUUAGAGAACAUGAAACCAAACUUAUUAUAAGAAAGAAAAAAAAAACAGAAACAAGAACGGUGGAAGAGACAAAGAUGUGUAGUUCCGAUUCUCUUCAGCUUCACAAUGUCUUCGUCUAUGGUAGCUUUCAAGAUCCCGACGUCAUCAACGUCAUGCUUGAUCGUACUCCUGAGAUAGUCUCCGCAACACUCCCGGGCUUGUACGUACCUUUCUCUGUUUCUUCUUCGAUUGAGUUAUUUUUCUGUAUAGACUUAAGAUUUAAUGGCCGGUUUUGGUUUUGUUCAUCAGUCAAAGGUUUAGGCUUAAAGGACGUUUGUAUCCAUGUAUUGUUCCUUCUGAGAAAGGAGAAGUUCAUGGCAAGGUUUGAUUCUUAGAUGAUUCUUUGGUUUUAAUUUGUGUAUGAAAUAUGGGAUUUUAGGGUUUUGAUUUGGGAAAUUUGGUGAAUUGGUUUGUGUAGGUACUAAUGGGAGUAACAAGUGAUGAGCUUGAGAAUUUAGAUGCGGUUGAGGGAAAUGAAUAUGAGAGAGUGACCGUCGGGAUUGUUAGGGAGGUAAAAGUUUAAAGGUUGAUGAUUAUAAAUUUUGGAACAUGUUGGAUGAUUAUAAAUUCUGAUUUUGCACAUGCAGGACAAUUCGGAGAAGAUGGCAGUGAAAACAUAUAUGUGGAUCAACAAGGCUGAUCCUGAUAUGUUUGGAGAAUGGAAUUUCGAGGUUUGAUGAUUUAAACAAUGUAUUUUUAGCUUUUGUGAACUCAUUAUGACUGGAAAAAUGGUACAUUGUUUCGAUUCGCUUCUUAGGAAUGGAAACGGUUGCACAAGAAGAAAUUCAUAGAGACUUUCAAGAAAAUCAUGGAAUGUAAGAAGAAACCUCAGGGACAGGGAAAUGAUGAUAUUAGCCAUGUCCUACGCGAAGAUCAAUAGGAUAAGACUCCAUCGUCUUGGAUGGACUUGUGUUUGAGUAUGUUCUAUAUAUAACCACCUUUGUUAAAUUAUCAACAACAAAAAACCUUCGUUUUUAAAAAUCUAAAAUAAAUAAAACGUAGAGAGUGUUGUAUUGAUGUAAGAUUUUUGUUUUUGUAUAAAUUUAAAAUUUAUUUAACAAAAAAACGGUUUUACAAUAAAUACAUCGUUACUGAAACAAGUAUAAACUGAAUAAAAGAGCUAACGACAACAAGUGCUAAACCAAUAUCGUAGUCCGCCUUCGUAGAUAGGUGAACUUGAAGUAACUAAAAUAAACUAAAAUACUUAACCGAUUCCGCAUAUUCUUAUCGACCAUUUUGGCAAGAGAGAGGGCUGGAAUGGAUGACUCGCCAUGCCUUCUUCCAUUUCUCUCUUUCUAAAGAGCUGAAACACAUAUCUGAAAACAAACAUAUGAAUUUGCGUCAAGGCCGAAUUUGUAGAUAGAUCAAAAUAUCAUGUGGAUUAUAUUAUUAUAUAUAUGUUAUACUUGCAAGUAUUUAGAGAUUUUUGCAUCUUACUUAGCUUGUGUGUGUUUGGUCUAUUUGAAGUAUUUGCAGAAAUUCUAUCCCACAAUUUUGUUUGUCCGCCUCUAUCCAAAACUGAUAUGCGUUCAAUUAUUCUGAUAAAAAUUUAGAUACAUACGCAAUUAAUCAUGAGUAUUUAAAUCCUUAAAGGUUCCACCAUCUAAAUGACUAAAACCAAUUAGUAAUCAAUACCAAUUGGGUUAGUGGGUUUUGGGAAAAUUUAAAGUUUUGUACUCAAGUUGGUGUGUCUAAUUAUUUAUUAUUUACUUUAUGAAUUAGCAUAAUUAAGCAAAGAACAAAGAAUAUUUUGGUCAAAUAUAUAAAAAGAUUAACAUCCAUCUGAAAAAUCUUUUACCUAUAGUUUUUGCAACUUGAAUAUUUACCUCAAUAGAUAAAAACUAGAGUUAUUUUUUUUUUUUUUUGUCGGCAAAAAACUAGAGUUAUUUAUCAAAGCCAAGUUAGCAAAAUAAUCUACUAUGAUGACAAAAAUUUGUAACUAAAGAACAUAAUUCCACGUCGUUCACCGUUUCGUGUUCCUACGUGUUAUUCUUUUUUUUGGUCACGUUAUAAAACCUCAAAAAGCUCUAGAGGAUCAGAGAAAAUAACAUAACCAAUCCCAAGAAGAAAAAAAAAACAGAGUAGAGAUUGAUAAAAAAAAAAUGAGUAGCUCCGAUUCUCCUCAGCUUCACAAUAUCUUCGUCUAUGGUAGCUUUCAAGAGCCUGACAUCAUCCAUGUCAUGCUUAAUCGUAUUCCUGAGAUUGUCUCUGCAACACUUCCUGGCUUGUACGUUACCUCUCUCUCUCGAUCUUGAUCUUGAUCUCGAAUGAUAAUUCUCUCUGUUUUUUAGAUCUAAGGUUUAAUGCCGAUUUUGGGUUGUUUUCAGUAAGAGAUUUAGGCUUAAAGGACGUUUGUAUCCAUGUAUUAUCCCCUCUGAGAAUGGAGAAGUUCAUGGAAAGGUUUGAUUUCUUGAGAUCAUUCUUUGUGUGUUGAUCUUGAUUCUUGAAUAAUUUUAGAUUUUGAGAAUUUUUUUGGUGAAUUGUUUGGUGGUCCAGGUACUAAUGGGAUUGACUAAUGAUGAACUUGAGAAUGUAGAUUGGGUUGAAGGAAACGAAUAUGAAAGAGUGUUUGUUGAAGUUGUAAGAAAAGUAAGUUUCAAGAUUUAUUGAUUGCAUCUUCAAAAACACUUUUUAGUGGUCUUGAUGAGGUUAUGAGAAUAUAUAUGCAGGACAAUUCUGAGAAGAUGAGAGUGGAAACAUAUCCAUGGAUCAACAAGAAUGAUCCUGAUAUUGGUGGAGAAUGGGAUUUCGAGGUUCGAUGAUUUAACCAUUUUUGUUUUGUUUUGUUAGCUCUUUAUGAAUGAUGAAGUGGUGCAUUGGUUUGAUUCGCGUGUUUUUGUUAGGAAUGGAAACGAUUACACAUGAAGACAUUCAUAGAGGCGUUCACGGAGAUCAUGGAAAGGAAGAGGAAUCCACAAGGAAAGGGUAGAGAUGAUUUCAGCAAUGUACUCAAAGAAGAAGAUCCCGCGAAUGCUCCAUCGUCUUGAAUGGAUUUGUGUCGAGUAUGUUCUAUAUAUCACCUUUGUGUCUAAACUCCAUAUUAAAUAAAAAAAGCUGGAGAGUCUAGCUAGGUUAUUGUGGAGACUAAUGACAAGAAUGUUUUUGUCAUGUUGUAUUGUAAGAUUUGAGUUAUAUAUCAUGUGGAUUGUAUUAUUGUGUUAUACAAGAGUCUUUAAGAGAUUUUGGCAUCUUACUUGUGGCGUCUAUUGAAUUAAGCGUGUAUGGAUUAAGUGACUGAAAAGAGAAUUUGUAGUACCGACCAUGGGAUAAGGGUUUUGAAAUAUCCUCAAUGGUUAAAGAAGCAUACUAUAAACAUUGGAAAGGUAUGUAACAUCUUUUGGUUACACAAGAAAGAUAAGGUUCUUGAAGACUUGGUAUGUAAUAAGAAGUUAAGAACCAAGUAAGAAGUGAAGGAGAGACGAAAAUGGAGAAAUUCACAGAGUACUUGCAAAUUUUAUACCUUUUACAUAAUUUACAAAUAUUACACUCUCCCAAAGAGUAAAGAAAAAUUAAGUGAGAGAGGACUUAAAGGCCCAAAUAUAAAGCCCAUUAGGCCUAUAUUUAAUAUAACCAAUCUGGACCGUUGAAUAUUUAUUAAGCCCACAUAAAUCGUGUCCGUUGAUUAGAAGAGCCCAAGAGAACUCUAGGGUUUUGUCUUAUAAGCUUGAUCUCGCAUUAGGUCUUUGCGCCUCUUGCCAUCUUUUGUCACUCAUCUUCACAGGAAACAAUGGUAAGCCCUAGCUAAGAUCUCUCUUUACUCCAUAGUUUCUUCUUGAUUUUCUCCUCAGGCUUCAGAUUUUGGGUUUCGUUUCAUGUAGAAAUCUUCUGCAUUUCAGUUUGAUAGUUAUGGUAACGAGAAUUUCAUGAACAUAUGGUUCUAUUCAGCUUCGUAGAUGUUUUUCUUCAUGGGUUUUGGUUACGACUUGCUUGAGAAUCGAAAGUAGCAUAUUUGUGUUUUUUGUUCUUGGGAUUUAGAAUAAAGUUUAAGACUUUAGAUCACUGAUGCGUUUAAAGUUUGAGACUUUAGCUUUUUGUUCUGUGGUUGAGGUCACUGGUGCGUUUAAAUGUAUGAUCUUUCGUUCGUUACUUUGAAAAAAAUAUGGUUAGAUCUUUAGAUUUAUUCCUUUGUAUAUGUUGGUAGGUGUUUGUGAAGUCCUCCAAAUCGAAUGCUUACUUCAAGAGGUACCAAGUGAAGUUCAGGAGAAGGAGAGGUAUUGAUCUGUUGUUACUGUCAAGCUAGACUUCGCUUUUUGGUCUGUUAUAUAGAGUUUAUAUGGGAUUAGGUGUUGUGACCUGAAAGUUGUUGUUCUUAUAAUCUGUAGAUGGGAAGACUGAUUACAGGGCAAGGAUCCGUCUUAUCAAUCAAGACAAGAACAAGUACAACACCCCUAAGUACCGUUUUGUUGUUCGAUUUACCAACAAAGACAUUGUGGCACAGAUUGUAUCUGCAAGCAUAGCUGGUGACAUUGUUAAAGCUUCGGCUUACGCACAUGAGCUUCCUCAGUAUGGACUCACUGUUGGUCUUACCAACUAUGCUGCAGGUAUUGAAUCAGUUCUAUACUUUUGUUUUCCCAAUAUUUGAUUCUGUGUGUAUGGUUUCUUAAAGACUUAAUGUUUUUGUCAUGCUAGCUUACUGUACUGGCCUUCUUUUGGCUCGUCGUGUUCUGAAAAUGCUGGAAAUGGAUGAUGAGUACGAGGGAAACGUAGAGGUAUGUUGUGAUCUUUUAUUUCAUCUUGAAAAUAAAGAAACUUGAGAGUUUUCAUCUUUUGAUUAAUAACUGAAUCAAAAUUGAUGAAUCAGGCCACUGGAGAGGACUUUUCUGUGGAACCAACUGAUUCCAGAAGACCUUUCCGUGCUCUUCUUGAUGUUGGACUUAUCAGGACUACCACUGGAAACCGUGUGUUUGGUGCACUCAAGGUAUUGUGUUUUAAUGUGGUUGUCUGUGUUCUUAUCUGUUGUAUAGUGUGUUCAUGAUUUGAAGAUGAUGCUAGCAAUCCUUUAAUACCCUGUUGGUUUGCUUCAUGAAACUAUAGGGAGCUUUGGACGGAGGUCUUGAUAUCCCUCACAGUGACAAGAGAUUUGCUGGUUUCCACAAAGAGAACAAGCAACUUGAUGCUGAAAUCCACAGGAACUACAUCUACGGUGGCCACGUCUCAAACUACAUGAAGCUGUUGGGGGAAGAUGAGCCGGAGAAGUUGCAAACUCACUUCAGUGCUUACAUUAAGAAAGGAGUUGAAGCUGAGAGCAUCGAGGAGAUGUACAAGAAGGUUCACGCAGCUAUCCGAGCAGAACCCAACCAUAAGAAAACCGAGAAAUCUGCUCCCAAGGAACACAAGAGGUAAAAACAAAUAAACAUUACUGCCUUUAAUCUUUCUUGUUGUGAUUGGUUUGUCUCACUGGGUUCUUGAUUGAUUGUGUGAUAUUAAACAAAACAGGUACAACUUGAAGAAACUGACUUACGAAGAGAGGAAGAACAAGUUGAUCGAGAGAGUGAAGGCAUUAAACGGAGCAGGUGGUGAUGAUGAUGAUGAGGAUGAUGA
rnacentral:lncRNA from 1 species